rnacentral:lncRNA from 1 species
UGAUUGGUCCGCCCACACCGGGCCUUCAAUCCACCUGGUCCACUCUCUGAGUCUACAGUAUGACUGGUCCGCCCGCACCGGGCCUUCAGUCGGCCUGGUCCACUCUCCGAGCCUCGGCACGUCUGGUCUGCCCUCUUGGAGCCUACAGCCUAUCUGGACGGCUAGUUGGGCCUUCGGGAUAACCGGUCUGCCCUGGGUAUGUUGGCCUAUAGCACAAAGCAGGACCCACCUCAACCCAACCCCAAUCCAACAACCAUGUGCACAUAAACAUUCAAUCAUAUAACAAUUCACAUCCAAAUCAAACCGAUCUAGCUAAUCACAUAUCAUAACAUCAUCCUAACCAGGAUACCGACAUAACCGGUCACUAGCAUAGCAUCAUCCUAUAUACCAGGAUACCGACCUUAACCAGGUCUCUAACAUAUACCACCCUAACUACCAGGAUGCAAACAUAGCAAAGCAACAACAUAACAACGAUACCUGGAUUACAAUCCGAUAAAGGGAUGGCCUUGGUGCCGUAGACCCUGUCAAUAUAGUGAGGAUAACUCACCUCGCAACUGCUGACUGAAAAGACAAGACCGAGCUGAUCCGACCACUGACACGAUCUCCACCACCAGCCAACACCAAACCACUGAACUCAAAAUAAUUCCAACAAUUACCAAAAUACCCCUGGAAGUCAACUGGUCAACACUUCGUCAAAGUCAAAGUCAACCUCCUAACUGACUCUACUCGUCGAGUCAACCCGCUGACUCGUCGAGUCCCCAUGCUCUGAAACUCCCNCCGAGUCGCCCCAAGACUCGCCGAGUCCCACAACUCUGAGUCUAACCAUACUCAACUCACUGAGUCAUCCCUUGACUCACCGAUUCACAGCUUAACCAGAAAAAGGUUAGGACCUCACGACCAGACUCGCCGAGUCCAAGGCUAUCUUCAACCAACUCGUCGAGUUGUUCUUCCAACUCGUCGAGUCGUUGCCUGUCUUCAUGCAACUCGCCGAGUACACCCAUGUAACUCGCCGAGUACCACUAGCUCUUAACCCAUACAGAGGCUUUCCAAGCCAUGCAGGGUCUCCAAUCCAUAGAUCUACUCUUAUACAAGCCAUCCAUCAUGUAAAGUGGCAAACUUUACGUGAAUCCAAGGAGAUCUAAGCAUAAUACACUCUAGGUCUAGGGUUUGGGACUAAAAGGCUUCAUCAACAACUCUUGAACAGGGACUUUAUGCUCUUUUGGAUCAUCACUACUCUAGAUCUGAGGUAGCAACCUCAGAUCCAACCUCCAAACUCAAGAUAGCACUAGAUAAAUUCCCAAAAAUCCCACAAAUGAUAGAUCUAGAUGGGUAACAGCUCAAGCAACGAAUCCUUACCUCCAAAGAAGACUCCAACAGAAGAAUAAGCCAAAACCUUGCAAAUCCCCUUGCUCCAAGCCUCUUAGCCUUCAAAGAUCUCUUCCACAAACACUCCUUCAAGGUCCAAAUGCUCUCUAAUUCACUCACAAACGCGUAUUAGGGUUUCUGGACUUCAAGGGAGAGUAAGGAGGCUGGGGAGAGGGUAUUAUGUCCUUUAUAUAAGGCUCAACCCCCAGAAUUAGGGUUUUCUCCACACAGCACCAACUCGUCGAGUCCAGCCAUCGACUCGCCGAGUUGGCCACUUAACACACGACCAGAAUCGCGACCCUACUCGCCGAGUCCACCCAUGGACUCGCCGAGUUGACCAUUCACAUUUGUACUUUGAACCCUGAACUUGCACUCCUGAACUCAGGAUGUUACACAAACAAACAAGAUCUAGUUUUUAAGUCUCAAAAAUGACCAAAAUGCAUCUUUCUUAACUUAAUCCAUUAAGUCCAAGUCUCCGCCCUUCAGAUCUGAAUCAAUAUGAUGUUUAGAUGGAUAAAGUUUCCAACUUUAUCCAUAACAAGGUCACAAACUUUCAAUAUCUAAACUUUAUGCAAUUAACAAGAUCUAUGAAACUAAUGAGAAAGUUUGAGGCUUUUUACUCACAAUGGUCCAAAAAUGAUGUGAUCUUGUUGGAUCUAUGCUUGAAUCCUUCUUCCAUACACUUUGCCACCACCUUGUUCUUCAAGAUUCCACCUUCUAAUGGAGAAAUAAGCUCAUAAAUUAUACCACGGCUCAAAAUAAGUGAGAUGAGGCUAGGGUUUCGAGUCAGAGACUUAAGAGGGUGGAGACUCAUGAUAGGAAGGACCCCCUAGGGGUUAGAGACCUUAAAUAUGGCUCAAAACCCUGAAAUUAGCGUUUUUACACUGCGGAAUUGCGUCAUGCGUAACUUUGGGUACGUCCUACGUACUCCACUAAAAACACAUCCCACCCUCAGCAUGUACGCCCUGCAUACUCCCUUGUAUACGCGUUGCGUACUACCAGACACCCUUUGCCUAACUUUAAACAGCCAUAACUUCUUGUUUCAACUCCGUUUUUGAUGAUCUUUAUAUACACAAAAAGGUAUCGACGAGCCCCACCACUCUAUCUAGUUACUUAUGACUAAAAACAUCUCGAACUAAAAUCUGUAAUUUAUGCAAGAAGCCUAAAACAUUACCUUUCCCAUUUUAUUCCUUAGCUUACAACGAACAAUCCAAGGUUUAAAUUACUUAUCCAACACCAACAACAUCCAAUAGAGUCUAAACUCCAUUCCCUUAAAACCCAAGGCCUUACAUGGUCGGAUUACGAUCCACAAACCCUGAAUUAAGAAACGUCCCAAAACAAGAUAUCACAACUUCUUGCAUGUGUAACGUACCGAGGUCCCAUAUUACGUAUGACAAUUGGUUUAACCUUGUCAUGGGUUCAUCAGGGAAGCGACAAUNNNNNNCCCCCCUCAUGACCAGUUGUGUCUAACCUGCUAUUGUCCCCUUCAUUGUCAAACUCUUCAGUGACUUGGCCAGACAACGACUAGACUAAUAACGUCAUUAAUUUAGACGGGGCCCUUUUGAAUAAGGGUGGCAAUUGAUGACACAUCAUAAUAAAAAUACACGCCACGAAAUGAAAUUUGGACGAAAAUGAAAUUUGAAUUCAUGUUCGUGUUAUGUUUGUGUUAAGUGUAAAAAACACGAUAUCGCGUUGUGUCGUAUUUGUGAUCGUGUUCAAAAUUCAACACGAUUUAGCAUUUUUUUGACAUGUUUUUUCGCUUUUGUCGUGUUAUGUAUGAUUAAAUAUUAGUUAAAUAAACUAAUUGUUAUAUUAUGUUAUCUUUGUCAUGUCGUGUCGUGUUUGUCAUUUUUUAAUUGGUACAUUUUUGUGUUAGUUAAAAAAACACGACUUCGUGUGGUGUCGUAUCAGAAGGAAAAAAAAAAUAAAAAAUAAAAAAAAACGACAUGAUGGCUCAUUUUGUCACCCCUACUUUUGAACCUAAUGACAAGCUAAUCUAGUGGCAUGGUCUUCGUCUUCUCGGUCAACACGUUCAUUAGAUAUUUGCCCAUGACAAUGGGCUAUAUAACGAAGAGGGCCUUGACCCUUGAGUAUUGGGUACUUGUAGUGACUAGUGAGUGAUUGUACAUAUCGAUACCAUUAACAUAAAAACAUAUUAAAUUGUGUUGAAAAAAUUGAUAUGAAUGGUCUUUAUAGUUGUAAAAUUUAGUUGACCAAUUAUCAUGGUGAUUUAGUCAGUUUAAAUUAUCAUUGCUAGGAGACAAAUUUUAUCUUAAUCCGGAACAUAAGCAACUAUUCAUUUUCACCGUUUUGUCUGGAUCUUGUUUUGGGUUCUUAGUGAGAUUCCACAUGCGGAACUAUUCAUGUUCUCGAGUUUUAUCCCAUUGAUGAUUCAUUGAUGCCUUGUUCUCGAGUUACAAUUAAGGAAAGGGAAGGUAAAGAAAUCGAUGAAAAAAUAAUGGAAAAAGAAUUGAUUAGGUGUGUUCUAAAGUUGGAAAGAAAUUUAUGUUAUCAUGUUGAAAAAAAAAACAUUUUUUUUUAUAUUUUUGCCCUUCAUUUGUUAAUAAAACAUUAAACAAUAUUCUAAGUGUUACAAAAUGGACUUUGGCAUAGCGGUAUCAUAGGGAUAGGAACCCUUUAGCAUAAGUUGAGGGUUUAUAUCUUGCUUCGGAUAAAAUGUGUAGAUUUAAGACUAAAAUAGUAGGUGUAUGUAAGGUAUAUAAUAAUAACUAAAGUUGUAUGCAAUGUGUUGAUUAUUAGAAAAAAGAUAAAGCACAAGUAUUUCUUUGUUUCUGUGUAGAUUUGAUCUUGAAUUUUAAUAUUAAACCUUCUUUCGUCUUUUUGAUUGUUCUUCUUAGUUGUGGGUUUGUUCUAUUUGAUCUUCAAAAAAAAUCUGGGUUACUUGCAAAAAAUGAAGACGAACAAACUUGCAAAAAGAGUGGGUUUCACAGGCUGAAGAUGACUAUAUUCGAUUGUAUUGAUGUUUAAAUGUGUUUUGAUAUUCCUUUUCUUAAAUCCAUAAUAUCAAUGUUUAUGAUUAUGUUUGGAAUUCAUUUUGGUUGAUUUGAAUUGGUUUUAAGCUUCAUCUUCUUGAAUCAAUAAAAAUUUAUUCAUCGUCUUCUCAGCUUAUUUAACCAAAAAAUUAAACACAAAGAAAUCAGAUGAAUCAAAAUAAAUAACCUACAUAAUUUAUUGGAUGUUCUUUGCAGUCUUUUGUACCUGACAGAACCUACUCCAACUUUUUGCUAAACACAAAGACCAAAUUUGCACCAUUACUGAUUUACCAUAAUAGAAAUCUUUUGAAAUGUCAUCAUACAAAUAUCAAUAUUUCAUGAUCUUAUUAAUUAGUAGGUCAUUAAUUGGUUUACUAGCAAGCAUACAAAGAAAUGCAAAAAAGGUUUUCUGUCAAAUCUUGUAUUUCAUGCAUGUGGGCCGGGUUAUGGCUUUGACAAGAGUGGGAUGCAAAAUUGGAAGAAAGGUUAUGUCUUGCCUAAGAUAUAGCUAGGUAGAUCUCAACAUUCAACAACAAGCCUAAUCAUUUAACUGCUAAAGAAGUCGAAGAGCAUGAUGUUUAAUGGAAGCUGCAAAUAAUUUGCUUCAUCUAAGAACUACAUCUUAAUUAAUGAUGAAAUAAAAAAUGUAAUAUUUUACCUAACAACUAGAUAGAUACAUGCCUUCAUUUGUGUCAUCCACUUCUCAAAGCAUUUCAACCAGGAGUUGUGUCCACAUGGAGUCUGCAAGANAUAUAUAUUCUAAUCUAAUUGUCAUAUAACAAAAUGUAUCAAUUAAUCCAGAAUAUGUAUGACAUUACUUCUUAUUCUUUUGAAUAAUAAUUAACAGAUCAUGAAUGGAGAAUCCUUAGCUACAUGAGAUCACAAUCUCAGUUAAUAAACAGGAUCGAGUUUAUAAUCUUCAUCAUCAUCUGUACCACUUUAAUUUGAAGCAACAACAUAAAUUUGGAAAAUUUAUAACUUCUCAAAACGUUGAUCUCAAACUGUUUUCACCAUGAACAUUAGUCAUGGCAACAACUAUCACGUCAUCAUUUUUGGUCAGAAGAUUACUGAUAUAUGAAGUCUCACUUUCCUAAUGAGACACAAUGAUCGCCAUUUGUACAAAUUUAGGCUUGUUCAAACUUUCAAAUCCAUCUACAAAAUUGUCCUUAAAAAAAAUCAGAAAAGAAAAAAACACAAUAACACCAGUACGUUUCUAUCGUCUAUCAAUAUAAUGCAGCAGUCAAUAAUUUCAAACUUAAAUCAUCUAUGAUGUACAAAAUAGCAAUCGAUAAAUGCAAAUUCCGAACUCAAAGAAUGAAAUAAGGGUUCUUCAUCGCUCAAAAAAAAAUACAGAGAAUUAUACCUUUAGUUGCUGGAAUAAGGAUCAGUAAGGAGUAGCAUCAUCUUCAAAUCGAUGACUCUUCGGUAGAAACGAGAAAAUCGCUAGAAAAUAUGGCAAAUCGGCUAACGAAACUUGAUAUUCUAGAUAAAUACAUUUGAAGAAGCGUCCCACAUCGGAUUUGUGAUAAAAUAAAAAGGGAUUUAUUAACUAAACUGGAAGACAAUAUGACGUGUUCGUAAGAAGGAGAGAUGGUUGGCAUCUCCCCUGACAGGGACGGGAACAGCCUUCGGGCUUACCUGUUACCACACAUCCGGUUAAGGCUACCCACUUCGGUGGAUCUAUAACCCAAUUUUUUUUUCCCCCAAUUCUACUUUACUAAAUAAUCUUUUUGCUUUUAUAUACAACUCUUCUUUUUAACUUUACCUUUAUAUAACCGGUUUUUUAUUUCUUCUUUUGAACUUUACUAGUAACUAAAUUAAUUUUGUUUGGUUCUGAUGUAACCAGUAGAAUAUAAUAUUUGCUUUCCAACUUAAUAAAAAAAAGAUUUCAUUUUUAGAUUGAAUUGGAACUAUAUUUUAAAAUUAGAUCGAAUAUUAUUUUUGGUUAAUUCAAUUUUUGCUUACUUUAUUAAAGAAAAUAAUAUAUUUUCGUCAUUUCCUCAAGAAAAUAAAUAACGUACAUUAGAAUAUACACCAAGAAUUACGUAUUUUAAGUUGAUCGAAUUUGAGAUGGUUAACUAAUUUCAAAAAUGGAACCCAAUCCCCACUACCAAAUUGGGAAAUUAUUAAACACAGUUUAAAAGUAAGAAAAAUGGUUAGUUAACUUAACAGCCUUCUGUCUCAUCCUUUUAUUCCCAGAUCAGAUUCAAUGCAACCAAAAGUGUCAUAAAUUCAAAAUUACACAGCAGCAUCAAUAUUUGCUAUACAGAUAAUAAUAAUAAUAAUAAUAAUAAUAAUAUAAAUAAACACACUUCACCACAUAUAUCUUACUUACUAUACGUAACACCUGACAAAUGUAGCAAGUGGAAUAAUCUAAAUCCACCAGCAGCACCACUACCUUGUCUGAGGAGACGUUUGACCGGAAAUCUGAACUUCAGGUGAAGACCCAGUCUGGGUCUGACCCUGAGUAAACAUGGUGUCCAUUUUGGACCUUUCUGAGAAUGAUAUGGAGGCUGGAAUCGUAGGAAUUGGUAAUUCUGAUGGACCACCAUAGGUGACUGCACCUGGAAGCGGAUGAUCAAAUUUACAGGUGCGCCCGAACUUACAGUGUCCGUUUUGCAUGUAGAAAUUGCAAGCCUCCACCCCCUGUUCAUCCACAUCCACAAAAGAGUUUGUUUGAGUAAUUUGUUGUUUUUAGUUAAUAAUUUAUUUUUAUACAAGAAGCUUUUACCGGACGCAAAGGGAGACCAAUGGGGCUGAGCAUACAGUUUGCCUGAGAUAAGACCCAGUCAGGUGGAUGAUGAUACUUGCAAGAGGCUCCAAACUUACAAUCACCCGUUUUCAUGUAGUACUGACAUUCAGGUUGACCAGGUCUUUCCGGAAACACCCUUUCAGUUUGACUAGGGCCAGGAGACGGUGGUGGUAAAGGACGGAAAUGUCCUCCAGCUCCUGCUCCUGCUCCUGCUCCUGCAAAAGAAGAAUUGACUCCAUAGACAGAAGCAGGCUGAGGUUGAGGAGCACCCGGAGACAGGACCGGGCUUACACGUCCCUGCAUCUCGUAAACUAUUGACACUAUAAGAAGAAGUAGAAAUAGAAAAUGAAGAAAACACAGUUUUAUACUCCAAUAAUUAUAUUGUUUCUUACCGAGUAAGGACUCCAAUUAGGGGGUAAAGGAAGCAUGCCAGGGGAAAGUAAGAUUGGACCAUAAGCAGCUGCUGGGGCGUAAGAACCAGGAACUAAUGGAGGCCUUGCACUUGCAACCCGAUAACCACCUCCUGGGCCCCCCACAAACUGUUGUUGUUGUUGUUGUUGUUGUUCAGGUGAAGUUGACUGCACAGUCGAAUAAAAUGGACGUGCAGAUGCCGAUGCUGACAUGGAUUCGCCAGUGGGUUGAGGAUGAUGGAAUUUACAAGUUAUACCAAAUUUGCACUGCCCCGUUUUCAAAUAGUAGGAGCAUUCUUUCUCUUCCUGUUUUCAUUAAAAAAACAAAAAUUAAGGUAGGAAGCUUUGGAAGAAGAAGAAGAAAGAAUUUAGCAUGAGAAAAGAAAUAGUUACUGGUCGUAAUGGAUAUCCAUAAGUAUUUAGUGGCACGUUGCUUAAUGAUCCACCUGCAUGUCUUGGAUGGUGAAACUUGCAGGAUGCACCAAACUUACAGGUGCCUGUUCUUAAAUAAUACUACAAAUAAACAGAUGGAACGCUAUCAAUAAAAAGAAAAACAGAUCCAAAUUUCAGUGUAUGUAUGUGCAAGUUUGAGUACCUGGCAUGGAGGCUCUCCUGGCCGCUCUGGGUAAGCUCCUCCCCCUCCUACGCUUCUUGCAGCUCCUCCAGCCUAAAACCAUAUCACAGCUCAAAGUUACAGUCCAUGGAGGAAUAGAGUUAGAUGCAAUGCAUGUUACUUGCUUUUUUACCCUGUUUGUCUUUUGUUCAAGACACAUCGCUUUCGUGGUUAAUAAUACAUCAUGUUUGAAAAAAGAAUAUGCACUUUAUCAUUAACAGGACAUGAUAAUUGAUUAUAAAACAAACAAGUAGGGAGGGGUUACCGAGCUACUACGAUCUGGAGGAUGAUUAUAUCUGCACUUGCUACCAUAUCCACAUGUCCCAGUUCUCAUAUAGUAAGCACAAUCCGCCGUUCCAGGUCGCUCCGGAUAAAACUCUCCUCCUCUUCCACCCCACAACCCCAACCGCCUCAUCGAUUCUACAUACAUUCCCCAAAUCAAAUUACCAAUGGAAACAAAAAAUCAAUCAAACACACAGACAGACCAAAAAAGUUCGUACAUUGUUCAAAACCCUAAAAAAAACUUCUAACAAUGUCAAAAUUGGAACUGUAAAAUGCUAAGCUGUGGAAGCAUUACCUUCGAGUCCCGUCUCCGUCCCCGGCUGUAUCCAUUCGGGUUGUUGGGUAUGAUCCGUCUGUGACCCGUUUCUCCCCGUGCUCCGUCCGUACAGCUCCAUUUUAUUUUAGGUUUUCGAGUUCCUAUUUACAACAGCUCACGAAGAUUUCAACGGAAUCAACUCACAAUCGAAGCCACACACACUCCCAGCGACUAAUGCUCGCUGAUUUGUUUAAAUGAUCGAGGAACUGGAGCUCGAUCAAGUGGUGAUUUUGCUGGUUGUAUGCUCUGACUGCAUCAACUUUAUUUGAAGGGCUUCGAUUCUAUGCAUUUGCAAGUGCAACUUUAUUUGUUUGAUUUUGUUUGGUGGAAAAAGAAAAACAAGAUGAGUAACCGACACUGCUGUUUGGGUAAUUACGAAACAACCCUUGUGGCUGCCUUUACUGUUUUGGUGUUGGUGCGGCAGUAAAGAUGUGUGGUUUCACAGGGCAAUUCCGUCAUUUGCAUUAGGUUAUGGAGUUCUAAUUAUUGGAUGUAUGAAUAUGAAGUAAAUUCCUCUCAUAUGUUUGCCCCAAAAUAAAAUAUACUACUUUCUAUCCGUUUUCCGAAAACUUCAUUGCAUAUAUACGGUAAAAACACUAACACGGAGUAUUUUCUUUCGGUGAGUAUCUAUAUUUUUCAUAAAAAUUAUGACACAUUUAAAAUUUUUACUUAUUUUAGAUCAAAUUUUGUUCAUUUUGUCAAGCUAAAACUUUUAUAUCUGAUUUAAUUAUAAAGUUGUGAUAUAAUGCUAUAACUUAAAUAUAAGAACCCAUGGGAAUAAUUACUACCUCAAAAUGGCAGGUACAAUAUCAUCAAAUGACCAUAUUUUAUACUAUAACUAUCUAUUUCGUAAACAACUAUCUUUGUAAAAUUCUGUUAAUUAUGUGGAAUUAAUAAACCAACCAAUAUAUGCUCUCUCUUCGGAAUAUGCCAUUGAGUUAGAUGUUCAAACAUGUAAUGUGACCAAUGAUGUAUGGUUGGAUAUCUAUAUCCUAUGUAACAAAAAAAGAAUUUUGUUGAGUUAUCAAAAACAUCAUAUUUCAAGGCCAGGUUACAUGUCUAAGUCGAUGUUAUUUACAAAAAAACAACCUCUGGUAAGUAGUCGUUUUUCGAUGUGUCAUUCGAUUGGGGAAGCCCUUGAGUGGGUUGCGUUUACAAGUUCUUCUAGAGGCUAUAUUGGGUUGUUCAUAUGUCAUUCAAUUUAUUGUGCAUUUAAAUUGUAUUAUAACCGCAUAUGUUGUUAAGGUGUCUACUCAUUAAUCUAGGAUGGUAGUUGUUUGUAUAAAUGACAUAUGGGAUGUAUCAAUUGUAGAUAUAAUUUUUGUGUUAGAUAUAACCGUUGGAACUCUUGUGGUUUUUUGAGAUGGGUUCACAAUAUCAGUUGAUUAGUGACUUGAAUGUUCAUACCGAUGGAUUGAAGUUCAAAGGAAGUGUUGUUUGUUUAUGGAAGCAACAUGUUUACUUGAAUUUAUAUGAAUUGAACAGCAUUGAUAUAAUUUUAAUGAAUGAGAAUGUAUCAAUCUACCAUGGAUAAGUUUUUUCCUUUGGUUUGCAUUGGUAUAGUUCUUUUCUUCGUUUGUUUGUAUGAUAAUUUCAUGGAAACCGUAUCUCAACUACCAUCAAGAAGGCUUUAAUUCGCAAGUUUGAAAGAAUUGUUGAAGGAGGGAACCGUGUAUGCUUUUUCUAAUUUCUUUGUUGGUGAUAACCUUUCCCGCUUGAAAACUACAUAUCACAUAUUUAAACUAAAUUUUCAUAAAAACAUGUAUGUUAAGGUCGUGACAUAUGGCUUCCCCUGUAGUGUGAGCCCUAUUUAAACACAUUAACCUCCAUAAAUCAUUUAUAUUCUCAUCCUCCAUCUCUCCAAACGACUCCCUUGAAACCCUAAUCCCAUAUUUGUGCCUUGUAAGCUAAAAGUGUGUUUUGGGUGCUUUUGAAGGAAGAAUAAGUUGGUAGUGUUGCUUGCAAAGCUUCAAGCAUUGUAGAUAUGGAAUUUGCACCUCCCAAGCAUUCUCCAGGAGGUAUAAAAUUCUUAACUUGGUGAAUGAUUUGUUAAAUCUUGUUAGUCCUUAGUUUUAUGUUCUUUUGUCCAAUAUUCUUGAUCUAGUUGAGUAUGAGCUACUCCAGACCUCAUGAGUGGCAUUUUCAGACGUUUUUGUAUAACACUCCAAAAAUCACAAUAAAUUUAAAAUUUUCAAAACCAACCAUAAAUCAAUAUUGUUUACAAAAAGAGUCAUUGUUUCAAAAACAUUAUUUCAAAUCAGAGUUUUCCCCAAGACCCGGAGACAUAAAACAGGAAGUUGCAUAAGAUCACAUAUUUUCCUUCCCACGAUCCUUUAAAGUACAUGAAACGAUAAACUAAAACAGUAAGCCAAAGCUUAAUGAGCUCCCCCAAAGUACUAGCACACCACAUAACAAACAAGCAUACAAUAUGAGCAUCUAGUCUGAUUGGACCGCCUCGCAGGGCUUACAGCUUAUUUGGACCGCUCUACGAGCCUUCAGAAUGACUGGACCACCUCGCAUGGCCUACAGCCUAUCCGGACCGCUCCAUGGGUCGUCGGCCUGACUGGACCGCCUCACAGGGCCUUCAACCUAUCCGAUCAUCCCCGGGUGUCUUGGCCUACAACACAAAGCAAGACCGCCUCAACCCAACACAACAUGUCGACAUAUGCAACAAAUAAACAUAAACAUAGAGCCAGCAAAUACAGAUAAUCAUACGGGUCUAUUGAACAGUCACACUAUCAUAUCACUAUCCCGACCAAGAUAAAUAAUCUAGUGGGUCGGCAUUGGUGCAUUCGACCCAUGGGUACAAUGAGGAAAACACACCUCUCAUUUUGAAUGCAAGUUGAAUAAAUCUUGGUCCUGAAAAUUAGCUCAACGAUCACCUAACCAAAACCAAGGACCUAAUCUCAAUUAAUCAACUCAAAAUACCUAAACUACCUGUAACACCGUAAAUUUCCAAACAAAAUUUUCAUUUAAAAAUCACAAUAAUUUCAUUAACACAGUCACAAAAACCCCCAAAUAUCGAGUUAUCAAAAACACAUGUUCAUAAAUUGUUUAAAACACAAUCCAUGAUCCUCCAAAACAUAUCUCCAAUUCAUGUAUGUACAAUCAAGUCAGUUCAUUCUCGUGAUCCUGAGAAGUACCUGAAACACGUAUUUAACGACCCAAAAAUUACGACUAAAAAUUUUCUUUAAAACAUUACUAAAACCAUAUUUAUAAAAUUUCCUUUAACUUAUUGCAGCAAUCUGCAAAGGUUAAAAAAACAAACCGACUUUUUAUAAAUGUUGUAGCUGUUUGGUCCCCCUCUUCAGCUACAGAGAGUUGCAGAGGUGGUCCGCAGACUUCAGGCAUUUUCGUUUCGAAAAAACAAACAACACCUAAGAGUUACCUUGUGUGACUAUCUAUGUGUGGUGUAGCACUUGUCUUAACUAUCAAGGAGAGCAGUAACAAUUGAUUAUCAUCUGAGAGGUGAGUUCCUUCACUGUACUCAUGAGUCGAAGGCACCAAUGUCGGCCCACUGGUUUAUGUUUGUAGGAUGAUAGUUGUCUUUGUGACACUUAUUGUUAUGCCUGUAUGUGCUUGUUGUCUUUGUGACUCUUGUAUGUGUAUGUAUUUUUAGAUAUAUAUUUGUGGGCGGGGCCCGUAUGAGAUUUGGGGUGGGGCCCGUUAUGCUGAGGGUGAGGCCCGUAUGCAAUUUGGGCGGGGCCCGUUAUGCUAUGGGUGGGGCUUAUUUAUAUGUAUGUCGUAUUUUAGGAAAACUCACUAAGCUUUGUGCUUACAGCUUUAUGUUAUUGUUACAGGUACUUCCAAUUCGAAAAGGGAGGCCUGACAUGAUCACACCGCUUCCACCAGCAUUCCGCAUUUUAUGACAUGCUUUGUAUUCUGAUCACUAUUUUAUACAUUAUCGCGUUCUGAUGGGUUUGAAAUGAAUGAAUGAUGUUUCUUUUGGCUUUUAAAAUGAAAUUUCACUUAGUAAUAUUUAGGACGUUACACAGGUCCCAUACACCAUGUUCUGAUUUGAGACCCAACAAAACUGAUUGCGACUUUUACCACAUUGAGAUCGAUCUUGAUUAUUGUUGUAGUUGUCUUCGUGUCCUCCACGAUCCUGAUUGUUGUAGUUACUGCGACUGUGGCUUGAAUUGUCGUUACUAGUUUCGUUGGAAUAGAGAGCAUGUGGUGUGUUUGGGUGAAUGUUGAGGCCUAAUUGAGCCAUAAAUUGUUGAAGAGACUGCAACGUGUAUGGAUAAAUCGAAGACAGACAAUUUGAUAUGGUAGCUUUAAAGGCCUGCAUAUAUGGUGGAGAUGGAGUAUUCUUUCGGAGUAAAUAAUCAUGAUCACCCAACAAUCCAUACAGAUUUGAAAAGGUGAUAGGGUUCUCCCUGCCAAGCAAGGUGAACUUGAGGCGAGAGUAUUCUUCUCGUAACCCUAAAAUAACAAGCAUCACUAGAUCUUAUUCAUCUAUUGGUUUGCCGAUGUUUGCUAAUGCGGCAGAGUACUCCUACGCUUUGGUAAGGUAGGCAGUAGAGGUCUCAUCACCUUUCAUCUCAAUUUUAAGAAGUUAUGUCUUAAGAGUAUAUUCUAUGGAGGAUUUAUAUGGGGCGUAUGCUCAUUCCAGAUAUAGCCAGAGAUAAUGAGAAGUUGUACCAUAUACAUGUCGAAAGGCAGCCUCAAAAAUUGUGUACAUGAGUAACAUUCAGAUGUAGGUAUCAUUCGACAACCGGAUCAAGUAACUAGGGUUAGGAAUGGGUGCAACAUCUUUUUCUGUUGAUGGUAUUGUGGUAGUGGGUUGACGAAUUGUGUCAUCGAUAUAGUCGAGUAAGCCAUUGGUGAGGAAAAAAGGUUGAAUCAUAGCUUUCCAGUUCCUAUAGUUUGUAGGAGAUAGAGUAAAGCUGAAUUUGCGAUAGUUGUGUGUUGUUUUAUCUUUAGAAGAAAAAUGUGUGAGAGUCUUUAUAGAAGCAACAGAGGUGACGUUGAUCGGAGGUAGAAGAGGGCGUGACAGUACCUUCGUGAAUAGUAGUCGCUUGAACAGUAGUCUCGUGAACAAUGCCUUUGUGAACAGUGAUUUUGAGAGGAGAGGGCAGCGACAGAUUCUAGGGUUUUGUGAGGUCUUCGGCUGGCUCUGAUACCAUAAUAAUAUGGUAUGAAUUGUAUAUGUAUUGUGUAUUCUGAAUGAUAAUUACACAAGUAUAUAUAAGCCUCUAAGUUACACAUUUAUCCCUCUAACUAUACACUUAUAAUAAAUAUCGCAUAGUCUAAUACAUAAGGUGUGUAUUUUUGGCUGAAUGUUUUGUUAAUUUUUUAUAUAGAUAUAAGUUAUUAAUGAAAAUUACAUCGUCUGUCUCUGCAUGCCAAUUUUGUGAUUGAUAACGACGAUUCCAUUAAAAGAGACAAACGACAUAAUGGUGGUGAUUCAGUAAGAGGAUGUGGAUUGUUAGAUUCUCCGCAGAAGUUUGCAAUUGUGUAGGUUAAUUUAAGAUGUCAUUGACGAAUGAGUUUGGUUUUAGCAUUUUAGAAUACUUGACAAUGUAUCAUAUGAUAAAUUUCAUUAUAAAUGUUUAUUUGGUUUCCACCAAACAUAUAUUUGUUAUCAGCAUUUGUAUUGAUAUUCUUGGUUGAUUAGAACAAUAAAAAGUUUGAAGUCUCUUCCUAGAUACCGAACAUGUGUUUGUUUUCGGCACUAUUAAUGGUAUUCUUGAUUGAGUAGAACGUUUUAAAUUUGCUGCAAUUUGUUAUAAAGGUAUAAUAUAUACUGGUAUAAAUUAUAAUUUAAUUGUAUGGUUGAUUGAGUAAAAUUUGGAGUUCCUUUUGCGUGACCAAACAUAAAUUUAUUGGGAGCAUUGGUAAGGACAUUCCUUGUUUGGUAUAAUGCAUCGAAGAUAUCUAUGUUGAGAACAUUGGUAAUAGUAGUCUUGUUUGAGUUAGAACAUUUGAUUUUUUUUCCUACACCUAACAUAUUUUGUUUUAAAUAGGGAUAUAUUUUGGUAUAUCUUAUAAUUAAAUGGUAUUUUUUGUUGAGAAGAUUGUCGUAAUGACAUAAUGUGAUUUUAAGAAAAAUUCUUAAAAUGACAAGAAAUUAGUGAGCUUAUCAAAAUCAAGUCUUUACUUGUAAGUUGUAAUGCGAUUAUGCGAAAGAAUAACAACUACACGAAUACACGAUGAAUAGGCUACCGGCCCCAUAGUCCAAGCAAAGUUGUAUGCGACGGCCCAUAACUAGUACCGGGUUCGGAUCCAAGUUUUAUCCGUACUGGAUCCGGCCAGGAGCUCACUUUAUCCGUUCAAAGCCAUUGACGGCUCACAAGAGAGCUCUGUGUCCAGUAAUGGUGUUUCUGUUAGCCAUGAAUAUCCAAAUGACCACGACUCGAAGCAUCUCUUCAAUUUCAUCACAAUUUUGCCCUCGUUUCGAGCUACCGCAAAAGUUCUUAUCCGUUCGGCCUUUGCGAUAUCACAAACCUCUUACGAGAAUCGUUUGCAUGGCGGUAAAGUUCGAAUUUUGUUUGAUGUUUCUUUUUAGAAGCAGAAGAUAGGGGUUUGUUGAUUAUUUGGUCUAUGUUAUUGAUAUUUGUGUUUUGUGUGGUGAUUUUAGGAGCCUUAUCUUCUGAAAAAACUCGAAUCAGCUGAGAAAACUUGGAAAGAACUAUCGGUAAUUCUAUGUUAUCAUUCGAUGCAUCUGUGUGUCAAAGUAUCAUAUGUUUAUGUAUAUUCUUCCGGGAAUUAGGGCAGAACUGAUUGCGUUGUCAGUUGUUUAAGCACAACAAUGCUUCGAAAUAGAACGCAAAUGGAUAAGAAGAAAUCCACCAGAAAAAGAAUGGAGAAAUGCUUUUAAAGAGAGCUAGCUGUCAACUAGUACUGUGUUGAAUGAAUGUCAAAACGAGUCUCUUCAGAAUCCCUGAGAAUAGAUUCAUGUUAUUAAUGUGUAGCAGGAGGGUCCCGAUUUUUUUAAUGGCUUUUAUGAGCAGUAAUAGAGAAGCUAUUCAUACCAAAGGCUGUCGAGUAAUAGGUAGUAUUUAUUAACCUGUAAUGGGCAGUAGGUGUACAAGAGUCAAAAGUAGAGGAAAACCUUGGUGCAAAUAUAGAUAAAUGAUAUUGUUUCUAGCACAACAAAAGCUGUUGGAAACAGUCUGCACAUAUUUAUUUUGACAUUUCUAGAUUGUUAUUAUUAUCUAUAUUUUGACUAAAAAUUUCAUGCCCUCAUUAUAUUUAUGUUAAUGACAAUCUUGACAUAGGUUAAGCUAGCAGAUCCGGAUGUGGUUUCAAAUCCUAGUGAGUACCAAAAGCUGGCACAAUCUAUGUCUGAACUCAAUGAGGUAAUGUGAAGUACAUCAUAAUUCAUACACACCCAAAUAGCUCUUCUUUCAACCACGAUUGCCAAAUGCUUUGAACUUGUAGGUUGUAGCAACAUACAAAGGAUUCAAGGAGUGUGAGAAACAACUUGAAGAGUCCAAAGGUUUGGUUCACUAUGUUGUCCCUGUUUAUGAGUUGGAUCUGUUUGCCAAGUGGUUACCUUUUUUUUCUUUGUCAGUUUUGUCAAAAGAUGCCGAUGUAGAUGAAGAGAUGGCUGAGAUGAUAGCUUCUGAAAUUGAAUCUUUAUCUGAGCAGCUUAAAUUGUUUGAGGAGAAACUUAAGGUAUUGUCUGAAUUUGAUUUUGAUUAGUUGCUGUAGUGUUGAUGGAUACUUGGUCUGUUGUGAUAGAUGCUGUUGAUUCCAAGUGAUCCUUUGGAUUCUAGGAACAUAUUGCUUGAAGGUGUGUUAUUUAGCAAAUACUAUAAACUAUAGGUUUGGUAAAAUGUUGAAGUAAUAAAAUGUUGUUGUUAUUUUGCAGUUAGGGCUGGUACAGGUGGCGAAGAGGCUGGACUGUGGGCUGCUGACCUUGUAGGUACUGCAUAGAAACAUAUAACAAUAAUAAUAAUAACAUGGGUCAGAUGAGAGAUGUGUUUUUGGGCAUUAAUAAUAUAUGCUUAUGCAUGCUAACUUAUGAAUUCAUAUAAUAAUAUAGGUUCGUAUGUACCAGAGGUACUCUGAAAGAAACUCAUUGAAAUACACCCCACUUUCAUGCUCCGAGGUAUAAUACAUACAUACAUACAUAUUGUUUUUGCAUUUUAUAAGUUUGAGAUGGAAGUGUUUUGAUUAAUAUAAUGAUAAGGCUGAAAGAGGAGGAUUCAAGACGUAUGUGAUGGAAGUGAAAGGUGCACGUGUAUAUAGUAAACUGAAAUAUGAAUCAGGUGUCCAUAGGGUUCAGCGUGUUCCUCAAACAGAAGCCCAAGGUCGUAUUCACACAUCAACCGCCACUGUGGCCAUCAUGCCAGAGGUAGAUUGAUGAUUGUGCCACUGCCACGUCAGCUUAGCUUUUAUAAUCAGUGAUUUCUGGUUUCAGGCUGAAGAGGUGGAUGUGGUGAUUGAUCCAAAAGAAAUUGAACUUACGACUGCAAGGUCUGGUGGUGCUGGAGGUAUUAUUAUUAUUAUUAUUAUUAUUAUUAUUAAGUCAACAAACAUAAUAAUAAUAAUAAUAUAAUAUUUCAUGUAAUGAAAAAAGUAGGUUGCUAUUUUGGUUCGGUUGAGUUGAGUCAUGUGAUUUUUGAUUUUACUUUGCAGGUCAGAAUGUGAAUAAGGUUGAAACAGCAGUGGAUCUUUUCCACAAGCCAACUGGAAUCAGAAUCUUUUGCACAGAAGAAAGGAGUCAACUUAAAAAUAAAAACCGGGCGCUUCAAAUGUUAAGAGCAAAACUGUAAGAAAUUAUAAUAAUAAUAAUCCAAUUAUAAAUAUAUAAUAAUAAUAAUUAGUAAUCCAUGAUUUUUUUUUUCUUUUGAAUUUUGAAUUUUGAUUGUAGGUAUGACAUCAAACUAAAGGAACAACAGGAGUCUCAAAGAAAUGAAAGAAAAUCUCAGGUUGGUAGUGGUGCACGCUCAGAAAAGAUCCGCACAUACAACUACAAGGUAUUAUAAUUUCUUUUAAUAUUUUUUUGAAAAUGACACACAAGUUGUUGUAGUCUUAACAAAUCUUUAUUCCUUAAACAGGACAACCGGGUUACUGAUCACAGAUUGAAGAUGAAUUUCGAGCUCACUUCAUUUCUUGAUGGUGACAUUGAGACUGCAAUUCAGGUUAGCUAAUUUAAAUUAAUUUCCAGUUUCAAAAUCUAUGAUUUUAUUUAUGUUGUUGUUGUUGUGUGGGUGCAGUCUUGUAUUUCUAUGGAGCAAAGGGAAUUACUGGAAGAGCUUGCGGAUUCAGUAGGAGCUGCAACCACCUAGUGACUUCCAUUUUUUGGUUAAACAAAAUCCAAAUUAUGCGUGUCUUGUUUCAUGUAAAAAUAGGAGGCUAUGGAUACGUUUUUGUACCACUUAAUUUCUUUUUUUUUACACAUAUCUAACUAUAUUGGUCAUCAGAAAGCUGCAUCCAUACUCAACUUAUUUGCAAUCCUGCUAAAAACCACACAGACAGACAGACAGACAGAUAUUUAGGGAUGUUUUGGGUUUGUGUUUUUUUUUUUUUAGAAACACACACACACACACACACAUGCUUUUUGAUGUAAGUGUUCAUUAGCAGUUUUUACACGGUGGCAAAAUAGAAUUUAUAAAAAACAAGUGUAAAAUAGAAUUUAUAAAAAACAAGUGUUUCAAUCAGUUUAUACGGUGUCAAAAUGCUAUUAGCUGAUAAACAACAUCUUUAAUACUUUGUAUUUGCUAAAACUGUUUAUACAUCUACAAUCACAAAAAGGAGAAGAGCAUGCUCUUAUAAUUUGAUCUAUUUGUUUUCUUACAUAUAAUAUAGAUAUUUAUCUUUAAUCAUUUGUAAUAAUCUUUUUGACAAAAAAUAUUACAUAAAUAGCAUCAAUUCUUCUUUCCCCAAGGAUUUUAAAGUUAAAAAACAACACGGACUUUUGAGCUUUGACUUUUUGUAAGUUUGAGCUUUGAGUCUUCUUGAAUAUGUCUAUAUGUUUCAGAAGGCAAUGAAUCUUGAGACAUCUAUAUGAAACAGAAGCAGGAGGCCAACUUUGACAACUUCAGAAAAAGCAGCAACAUUCCAUUCCAUUCCAUAUGGCAGCAGUAAAACACCAAACUGUAAUUAAUGGCAACCAACUUUGAGAAACUGCAAGGAUUACAAAAAUAUCAGAUUUUAACAAAUUAUGAACUUUUAAGAUUAGUUAACAAUACUUAUCCAAUAAAAAACUAUGUAAAAUGCUUUCACAAUAACUCCAUAGAUAGACAUCUUUUGUCCUUUCGGUUGAAAGAUUGAUAAAAUUGUAUGUGCUUGUUUUAAGUAAAAGUUGAUGGAGAAAAUCAUGUAUAAAUUCCAAGGGUCCAUCUCCAUAGCAUUGUUCUUAUCAGAAACUAUCCAAUUAAUGCAGAGCAUUAGAAGGAAAAGGGUCCAAAGAAAAGCAAUGUUGAUUGUUGAUUCUUUUGAUGUUACAAAUAAUUAAACAAGUUGAUGGUUUAAGAACAAAAGUCAUCCAUCGCCAAAUUUCCCAGAACAGAAAGAGAUGGUCGCAAACAACAGUAAUCAAAAAGAUCGGGAGUUGGGGUUUGAUGGGAGGGAGGAUAGACAGUAGAGCCCAAGUCCAUGGAUGAGUAAAGGUUUCACACCAUCUUUAUCCAGUCAAUAGCGUUGCCGGUUGCUGCUCUGAUAAGUCAGCUCGUACGCCACAGGCCCUCCUGAGCCUGGGUGAAACAGAUAUUCUAGUGACGCACUCUCUUCAGGACUUGAAGACCGCGCCACCUGCGCACGGUUGUGUCUUGCACUCGGGCCCCCCGUUAAUUAUUUAUACCGUGGAUCCUUACCGACACCAUUCAAAGAGACUGACUGACGACCGCUAUGCGAACCUCAUACUUCCCUUUGGACUCGGGCGUCGCUUGUGCCCCCUCCACCCACCAAGGAAUCCCCUCCAAACCCACCUUAAUGCCCCCACUUGGGUAACAGACUCGCGUAACCAAGUCCGGCGAUCAUCAAGUUCGAACAGUGUUUAUAAACCCUAAUAAGCUCUUCUCCCUAGGCGAUAUGGGACGAUAAGUUUUACUUUUUUUAGAAAGAUGUAUCCAUCUUUUCCUUUUUAUUUUUCUAUCACCUUAUAUUUUUUUUUCUCUUUUUCAUAAUACAGUUACUUUAGUUUUAAAAAAUAAAUAUUAAUAAAAUUGGAAAUUACAUAAUUAAAAAAAAACAAGAUUUAAAAAAAAAAAAAGACCAAGCACAAAACAAUCCACGAGGAAAUAUUUUUGUUAGAUCACUUUCCUCAUCUUCAAAGCAAAUUGGAAGAUGUAUCCCAAAAAAUGAUCGGUGAUUUGCAUAACCUUAAGCUUUCAGCGAAAUUUUAUUUGUAUUUUUAUCAUCUAGUUUUUUUCAUUGAUGAUAUUAUUUUUUUUUAAAUGUCAAACAUUCAACAAAAUUUAAUUUUGUAUCAAUGAAAUAUCUUUAUCUUUUCCUCAUAUUCGUUGCCAAAAUCUGAUGCAUUUGAAGAAGACCCGUGCCCCUUCCUUUUUGAUUUGUCUUGCCCAUCAACCGAAUAAUUUCUUAUAACUCGAGUUUGUCAUUGAUGCGACAUCGACUCCAACCACCUGCUCUGAGGAGAUGCUUCUACGCCAGAGACGGAUUUGCGAGGUCACAACAGAGAGAUACGUUAGAGUCGCCCCAGGGACUGUGCCCCGGGAGCGAACUCCGACGAUCAAGUUAGAUCAGCUGGUAGAUCUGAUAUGGUCCUCCAUAGCUGGAGAGAACCAUCUUAGUGUUGGUGGUGGUGUAUGGUGGCUAACGGCGGCAGGUGGCGGUUGAGCCACCCGACCGGAGUAUAGUGUAGUGGCUGAGUCGUAGGGGAAGUCUAGUGGUGGCUAAGCCACUUGAGGAAGAAUCUAGGGAAAGGUCCUCCUUCAUGGAGGAGGCACUAUUCUAUUUAUAGGGGAAAACUAGGUCAAAGGGAAUUAGGUCAGGCCUUGGGCUAAACCAAUUCAGGACCAACUAGCAAUGAGCUAGGCAAGGCCGCCCAGAGGCGUCGGGAAGGGCUGGCGAGUGCGCCCCAGGCAAGGCUGGCGGGUGCGCACCAGGAAAGGUUGGCAUGGGAGCGCCAGGUCGGGCUGGCAGGAGAGUCCCUAGCACGGCUGAUAAGGGAGCGCCACGCAAGGCUGGCAAGGGAACGCCAGACAGGGCUGGCAGGAGCGCGCCAGGCCAAGCUGGCGCUCUAGAUCAGUCUAGGACAUGCUAAUGGACCAUAUAUCAUCAAGUCCCCCCAGUCUGAUGUUAUUGGUACGCGGCCAAUGAUAUCGGACUGGACUUAGUCAUAUAAACCGUAUGUCGUCAAGUCCCCCUAGUCUAAUGCGAUUGGGUUGCUGACAAUCGGAUCGAACUGGAUAAAGCACCAAUGCAUUAAAUAAUAGAGAAAAUGAUCGAACCUCGACCACGAGAGCCGUGGGGUUGUGCGAAGAGCCAACCAUUGCUUAUGCAGCUUGAGCUGACUUGAUACUCCUUUCUUUCGAGGAGUGCGAGCCGAUCGGCGUGAUGCAUCGCAAUUAUUGCUAGCAAUAUUUUGUAGAGUGGGGCUGCUAAAGAGUGUUACGCGACUAUGAUGUCGAUAGAAUGUCGGGUCGGGGUAGCUAAGAACCGUAACCUCGCCACACAGUUUCUAAGACCGUUGCCGAGCUCCGAAGUCUGUAAAUAAAUACAACACACUUGGUCCAUGAUUCCCGCGUUCCAGUCACAACUGAAAGUUGUUAAUAGAAAUAGACGCUCUGAGCGUUGCGCGCGCACCCCGGUGAGGGGGACGAGACCCGCAGCCAACACCAGGUGGGGAGUUAUAUUUCUAUGCCCGCCAAAUAAGAACUUUGAGUGACUGGUCAGUGGUUCACACUUUGCAAGGCCCCUGUAAAUGCUUUACAGUUCGAGCUUUUCUCCGCGAGUUUGUUGUUGGCGCACUAUGAGUAUCGCAGACCUAGAGGGAUUAUCUGAAAAGACAACUCGAUCAAAUAGCUAAUAUUUUUUCUUGAAAUAAUAAGUCGAUUCAUACUGCUCGUCACGAUUGUUUCUAAACGCUUCACGAGUGGUGGUAGUACACUACUCUCCUCCUUCCCCCCUUUUUUUCUUGAAAAUGUCGCGAGAGUUCGAGUCGCAACGCAUUCUGUUGAGCGGAGCUUGCGGUGCGCGAGUAUCAAAUUGCUGAUUUUUGGUUUGCAAAAUUGGGUCAUUUUUUGUAUUGUGGAGGUAGUCGUAUCAGACUAUGGUGCAUAGGCAAGGUUGUUAUAAGAAUACACAACGAGGUUGUUUUCUAUGAUAAUAGACAACCGGACUAUUGCUAUGAGCCAGACAGCAUAGAUGUUGAUGGAUUAUUAGGCGAAAUGAAACCCCUAAAUGUCUAGUCAAUCUUGUAACGGAUUAUUAGGCGAAAUAAUUUCUCCUUGAUAAUCUUGGACUAGGAUAUGUGAGGAUCGGUAGGAAUAGAUAUGUAGGAAUAUAAGCCAAUAUGAAUUUAGUAUGGUAGCGAUUGGUUUUGCGGGUUUGAUAAUUAAAGAAUAUUAUCGUAUCAAUACCGUGGGGUUGAAAUCCCUAUGUAUCUCACCAGGUUUCCCUAACAUGACCCACUCAGUUCAUAUGCAUCACAGGUAUCAAGACUUAAGCCACUGGAACUUGAUUAUGAUGUUGAGUGAUUAAGAGACAGCCUGCAAUAGUAUUCAGGACCACUAGGUCUUUACGUUGUAACUUAUGUAUAUGUAUUGAUUAUGACAUCCUUGAGUUUUUACAUUUUGGAAACAAACAUUUGUAAUCAAAAUGAUUUUUUCAUACUGGGAUUUUCUGCAAAUAUAAAUAAAUGAUUUUUAAAGCGUAAAGAAAAGUUUUAAUUUGUGUUGAAAAUUAUAGAAUGUCACAUAAUCCUUGAUUACUCGUCCCCAUAUCUGAUACCAAUGCAAGGUAUUCGUCAUGAACUGGCUGCGUAGGGUAUUUACCAUAAAAUCCUUGCUCUAAAAUAUAAAACAAGAACGCUUGAAUUACAUCUUCAUCAGAUAACUCAUUAAGUGGAUUACACGUUAGUAACUUUCAUCGAGUCCAACACCAAGAGAAAUGGAAACAUGUGAUUUCUGAAUUGUGUGGACAAUAAACGAGUCAUAAAUUACUCAUCGAACCGCAAGCUUCUAACAAAGUAGAAAACUCUUUUAUAAAAACCAGAGCCAGUAGUCGUUUAUCGAAAAUUGCAACGCCUCAACAUAAGAUCGAGGAUUUGUCACUACCUCCUUGUAUAACAAGUAAUGAUAGAUUUUCCUAUGUUUCGGACUACAGUCUGAACGUGUUUACGUAUUUCAGACUAGUUCUAUGAAUUCCAGACUAUUUAUUCGCAAUUUGAAAUGUUCCAAGAUAUGUUUUCUAGGUUUUUACUUAGACUAACAGGUCAUAAUACAAAUAUUAUUCACACAAAAAAUCUACAUACCACCUACAACUACUUUAAACAGAAUAUGCCCUUUAAUAAAGUACAAACAAGACACAUAAUUCUAGGAAUCACAUAACAAUUGAAAACCUAAAUUCUAUGAUUGAAAUAACUACACAUACCCAUAGAGCAUCGAGCUCUUCGCUAUCAAACGACAUCCUUUAGAAAAUAGUAAGUCUAAAAUGUGUUUUUUUGAACCUCUAAAACGUAUGAUGGAGAGAAUCUCAUUAGUCCUAAAUACACUUACAGAGUGAUUGUCCGAAAUGUUAUAUAUAUGAGGGACCAUAAUAACAGAUUGUGUUAAUGAUGUGAGUGACCCAAUGAAUAACGAUUUCAAAUAUAACAUCACAAAAUACGUUGUUAUUUUGCAAAACAUAUAAACACUUGAUUACUUAAAAAAAGCAAAAAUUGGUAUUUAAUUUUCUUUAUUUUGGUGAUUACUAACCAGGCUAAUUUUUGUAGGGUUAAUGUCAUUUUAAACCAACAAACUUAUCUCAUUUUUUUUAAAAGGUGAUCAAUGUUAUUUUUUUUUUAGCAUUUUAGGACCAUAAAGUCGAGUUUUACCUACUAAAAAAGGUAUGGAACUUUUUUUAUCCGGGUUUUAUAGGUAACAAAAUAACAUGCCUACAUAUGAAAGUAAAAGAAAUUGGUGUUCCUGAGAUUUAUUACCUCCUAACUUUCCUUCCGAUUUGGAAGGAUUUGGAGAGAAAAAAAAAUGUUUAACUUUUCUUCCACUUCUCUCUUCUUUUUCUUUCUUUUCUCUCCUUACUUUCUUUUUUCUUCCCUUUUUUUCUUCCUUACAACUAGGGAACGGGGUGUUAAGUUGUGUCUAGUCAGUUGUCUUGCCUCUGAUGCGUUAAUUAGUCCUCUAAGGGGGGUGUUUGGUUUGUCUUUUUGAGAGACAAAAGUUCUUUUUGAAAAAGAUAAAAAGCAAAAGAUGUUUGGUAGAAAAAUUUUAAAAACUAUCUUUGAAUUUUAGAUAAAAGGAAAACUGAUUUUUGAAAAAGUUAAAAUAACUGAUUUUUUGUAAAUUUUUCAAAAAGAACUUUUGUCUCUAAGAAAGACAAGUCAAACACCCCCAACAAAACCUGUUAUAACAAGUUUAAUAGAUUGUUUAGCAGGUAAAAUUCAAUUUUAUGCUUCUAGAAUGUUAAAAAGAUAAAAAAUAAAAAAUAACAUUAGUGGCAUUUUAAAACAAAUGGACUUUUUUUAUUUUUUUUUAUUUUUAAAAUAGUGAAGAAAAAAAAUCCAAAAGAACUGUUAUCGAACGAGGCAUGAAUGUGCAAAGAUGGCAGGGAAAACAUUUGAAAGCAUUUUCCUGCUAGAAAAAUAUCGGAUUCCUUUAUCGCUUUAGGAACAUGGGAUUCAGACCCUUGGGUGUAAAUCUCCUCAAAAAAUUUCACAAUUCAUCGGCACGAUCCAUUCCUCCAUCAUUUGCCCAUAAGAAACCGGUGUACCCUUUGAUUCCUCGGUUGUACGAUCGAUCUCCCCCCUACCCUGAAAAUCAUAGCUUAAAGAUCUCUAAGAGGUGGCAUGUCGGUCAUUCUCAUCACCACCACGAGCAAACCAGCGAAGAAGGCGAGAGGAUUUUCAGGCUCGGACUACUCUCCGAUAUCGGGUUAACUGCCGGCAAAGUAUUGACGGGUUAUUUGUCCGGUAGCACCGCCAUCAUCGCCGAUGCCGCUCAUUCUCUCUCCGAUGUGGUAAUAUUUAAAUUCAGUAAUUAUCAUUGCUUACUAUGUUCUGACUUUCAUGUCCACAUAAUAAUGCGAUGGGCAAAAUCGAUUUCAAUUUUGUUGCAGCAAGUAGAGGAUACACCAAACAUGAUUCGCUUCUGGCACUUGCUAUAAUAGAUCUUGAAUUUGAAAUAUGAAACUAAUUUUGCGAAGAGUUAAUUUAUUUAGGCAGUAUGUGGCAUUUAAUGAGAGAGUAAAAGCUAGUAAUGUUUUUGAUGUGAUGCAGGUGCUUAGUGGUGUUGCUUUGGUAUCAUUUAGAGCUUCAAGGGUUCCCAAGGACAAAGAACACCCAUAUGGUCACUUUUGAUUUGUACCGACUCUCUUCUCCUUUGAUAAAAUUUAUUUGUGUUGCCUGAUUGAUUGUGUUUUCACUUUCAGUAACAAAUAGUAUUUGAUGAUGAUAUGUGUUUGAGUUUGAGAUUCUGUAGUGGGAUUAAGGAUUUGAAUAACAACAUUAACAUCUGUUUCACAUUCACAUUCGUUUAAUUUAUGUUUGUUAUAAUUUGCAAAGUAAUUUGAUUUUCAGGGCAUGGUAAGUUUGAGACUUUAGGCGCACUUGGAAUUUCUGGCGUGCUUUUAGUAACGGCUGGGGGUAUUGCAUGGCAUGCUUUGGAUGUUUUAGUGGUAUAUAUAAAUAUAUAAUCCUGUUUUUCUUUUUUCUAUGACAUUGACAGAUGCAUCAUUAAUCAUUAAUAAUAAUAAUAAUAAUAUAUAAGAAAGGUAAUGAAAUUUCAUAUUGCAGGGGGUAUUGUACUCAGCAGCUUCUGAUCAACAUAUAGGUGGGGGGCAUGAUCAUGGGAUUGACAUGAAUCAUCCUGUGCUAGCUUUGAAUACUACUAUUGUUGCAAUUGCUGUUAAAGAAGGGUCUGUACUCCUACUCUAAUUCUAAUAGAUCCCUUGAGAGAUGUUUUGAGUUUAUGAAUUCAAUGGAUGCAAUGCACAGGUUAUAUUGGAUAACAAAGAGGGCAGGAGAGAGGUCUGGCAGUGGAUUGAUGAAAGCAAAUGCAUGGCAUCAUCGUGCAGAUGCUGUUUCAUCACUUGUUGCUCUUAUAGGGGUUGGUAAGAAACAUUAAGCACUUUGAUUUUACAUAUGAAAAAUGGGUAUUCAUUCAUUCAUUCAUUCAGGUGGAUCUAUUGUUGGGGUGAGGUUUCUUGAUCCCCUUGCUGGGCUUGUUGUCUCUGGCAUGAUACUAAAGGCUGGACUCCAAACUGGUUACGAGAGGUAAUAUUAUAUUUAACAAAUUGUACCGAGGACUAGAAACCUAUUAAAUCCUUUGUCCAGUAUUUUGGAGCUGGUGGAUGCUGCAAUACCAUCUCAUCAUUUGGACCCAAUCAGAAAGACAGUGUUACAAGUCAAAGGAGUGGAGGUAAGUUGUCUCUGGCAUCUUAUUCUUGACCUGUUUGUUGUAUACUUUGGUCUGAUAUAUAUAUAUAUAUAUAUAUAUAUAUAUAUAACAUAUUACACAGGGAUGCAGACACAUUAGGGGAAGGAGAGCUGGUUCGUAUCUGUAUCUUGAUGUAAAGAUCCAGGUGACUUACCUACCUCAUACUUACAUACAGAUACAAUGAUAGGGAUUGUUUGUUUGAUUGCAUUAAAUUGAAUUUGCAGGUUGAUCCCUUGUGUAGUGUGAGAACAGCACAUGAAAUUGGUGAAACUGUUCGUUACCAGAUUCAGAAUUGCCAUCCUCAAGUCUCUGAAGUCUUCAUACACUUGGGUAUAUUAUGUUACUUGAUUAUUGCAUAAUUUAUAACUAAAAAUAAACUAGGAUUCUUUUCUUUUAUUUACUUGUUGAUGUUUGACUUUGCAGAGCCUAACAAUAAACUUUCUCAGCCUACUACUACUACUACUACUACUCAUGUUCAUGCCCAGCAACAAGAAAAUAGGAUUGAAGAAAUGAUUACUGAUAUGCUCACUUCCAACUUCUCUCAGGUAUAUUUGUUCACCCUUUUUUUUUUUAUAUAUGAAAGUAAUGUUUUUGAUUCUCUAAUGGGUUCCAGAAAAAUACAUAUCCAAGUCUCAGGAUGAGUUUGUGUUUAAAAAUUUGAUCAAGCAUUUUUGAGAAAUGAUAUGACUAUAUGCUUUAUUUGUGAAAAUUAUUUUAGAAUGGUUAUGAUUAGGAUUUGUUGUGUUGUCAAUUAAUUAAUGGUAUAUUCUUGUUUCGAUUCGUCUCAGAAAAUGAAUGUGAAGCACGUAAGAAAACAGAAGUUGCAAGGCCAGAUUUUGGUCCAAAUCGAGGUUUCCAUGCCACAAGAUAAGACUAUUAGGUAUGAUUUUUAUUUUAUCCAAUUGCAUAAUAACAGUAAUUAGUAAUUAAAUACUAACUGGUUAUGUUCUGAUUACAACAGUGAUGCAAUCAAAGUGGCAGAAGAAGCCAAGCGCCAUAUCUUGCAGUUGCUGGACACCUCCGACUCUAACCCUAACCCUAACCCUAUCCCUACGCAGGUUCAGGUUACCUUCAUCUUGCAACUUGCAUAAUGAGUCCCCAUGAAAUGAAUCGUCGUCAAUAAAGAACCAGAUUUAGUUUCAAUUGUCACCAAUGCCAGAUCAUUUCAAUGAAAAAAAGAGUCGCGAUAGACACAACAGAAUUACAAAACUUUUUGAUUAAAAUAUGUACUUUUGUUGUAAAUUUUUUUACACAAGCAAAACCAGUUAUUACAAUUGUCACGAUUUCAUUAACUUUUUUUUUCUUACAAUUAGAGUUUGUUUUGCAUUUAAUUUGGAUUUGUAACAUGAUUAUUAUCUUAUGGUAAAAAUGUGUUCACUUCACCAUUUAGAUUUGCCACCCGGCAAUUUUUUUUUUUUUGCUGAGGCGGUGUUAAAGUGGACACCGUUCAGUCAUCACUGUCUCAAGAUAACUAUCGACACGGAAAAAUAAAAAGUGGAUCAGAUUUCUGGCUUGGAUUCUUCUAAUAAUUUAGAAGAAUAUUUAAAUAGCGCACAGUAUAAUCAGCUUCGAUCAUCUGGGGAAAUAAUCAUCAUUUCCACCUUUUAUUCAACACAAUAUAAAGUUCUUAUGAAUCCAACAAAAUUAACAAAAACACAAGUCAGGAUUAACUUGGUUACUGCUUUACGAAUACACCAUCAAAUAUUUGUCGUCCACAAGUACUUUUCGACUUUAAAAAGGCAUUUUGUUUAAAAUACAAAUUAAAUAGACAAAUUGGAAAAUAGACGGAUCAGAUUUCUGGCUUGGAUUCUCCGAAAAGGAGAAUGUUUAAAUAGCGCACAGUAUAAUCAGAUUCGAUCAUCUGGGGAAAUAAUCAUCACUUCCAUCAUUUCCCUUUUUAAACAUAAACCUAAUAAAUCAACUCUGGGAAAAUUACUUUCAUCUUUAAAUACAAAUCCAAAAUCCAGAAGACGUUAAAUAAAUUAUUAAUAAUAAAAACCAAUAAACUUCACAACUCUUAAAUUUAUGAAAUAAUAGAAACAUAAGUUUAAACCAUUGAUCAGAUAAUUGUAGUCUGGAAGUAUUUUUAGAUCGACAUUAUGUUUUCCGACAACUUGCUCAUCACCUCAAUGUCAAAAAUUAAAAUCAAUAUACUAUUAAAUAAGAAAAAAAAAACACAAAUAAGAUAAUAAAUAGUAGAUGAUGCUCAGAAGGAUCCAUUGGUAGUUUCUAAUCACAAGGAGAAAAUCAAGUUUUCCCUCAUAAAAUAGGUAGUUUUCAGCAUCACUGCAUCUCAACUUCGAGAGAUUAUUAACUAAAAAAAAAUGAGACGAAUCGAAAGCAUGUUACAAAAGAGCUACCUUGACAUCUGGUCAGCGAUGCCGAUGGGGAUAUGGAAUGAAUCGAAUCGGUUGUGUGUAUUUAUUUAUUUAUAGUGUAGCUUGUGUAUAUCUGCGGCGGCUGUAAUGUGUAUAGUGUGUACGCUAGGGCACAAAAGAAAAAUCAAAGUUAUAGUUUAUCACCUUCAAAUAUUAAUGGUUGCUUUAUACGCCCCCUUCAUUCUUAUGGUUAGGUACGUUUUAGUCCCAUCAAUAUUUUCUAUUUCAAAAUCUCUUUAAAACCCUAACAUAUUUUUCCUUGAAGACGUUGUUGUUGAGCAUAUCUAAAUUUCUCUUUAUCUUUCCCAUUAAUAUUUUUUUCUCUAACUCAUCAUAUGCAGAAUGUUAUCACUUAACAUUUGUUAUCACUUAACAUUUAAAUGGGAUUUUUGAAAAUUGAGCGAUCUUGAAACAUAAACUUUUUCAAGAUAUCAAUAAUACACUUAAUUGUACUUAAAAAAGGUUAAUACCUUAACAACCAUUAUUUAUACACCCUCUUUUCGAUUUAACAUCAACUUUAUUUUUUGUUCUUCAUUUGUCAUUAUAUUUUAGAAAACGUUUCAUUUUUGGACCAUUGACCGGUCAUCAACAGGUAAUGAUGACGUGUCAGUUUUAUAUUUUUUUUUUGUUUGUAUUUAGCCCCAACAUUUACAUAUAAAUUUGUGUUUAGCCAUAACAUUUUUUUUGUUCCCCAUUUGUCAUUGUUUUUUAGACAAAAUUUCGUUUUAGCCCUUAGCCAGUCACGAAUAGAUAUUUUAAAACGUAAUAACUUAAAAUGGAAAAGGAAAAAAAUAAAAGUAAGAGUUCACAUUGUGACUUCUCCUUGAAGGCGAUGUGUGUUACCUAGUAAGCCGAUGACUCUUUUUUUGUAUUAUGAGUGUUUGUUGUAUUUAAACUACACAUGUGUUUUAAAAUGAAUAAAAAAUACCUAGUGUAAGUCUUGAGUUUGUAAUAUCUAAUAAACAAUAUGACAUGCAAAUCUUUAAGCUAAUCAAAAAUGUUAAUUCAUUCGUAACCCAUCUAAAAACAAUUGGUUAUUUCUACUGACAUAUUUGUUGAGAAAUUAUAUAUUUCUAAAUAGUCGAAUAUGUGCCUUCUUUUUAAGGGAUGAGGCAUGUUAGCUGAUAAGUUAAUGGUUCUUUGUUUGUAUUAUCAGUGUUUGUUGUAUUUAAUUUAAUGUACACAUGUAUUUUAAAAUGAAGAAAAAAGACAUAGUGUAUGUCUUGAGUCUGUGACAUCUAAUAAACAAUAUGACAUGCUAAUAUAAAAUUGUUAAUUCAUUUGUAACUCAUCUAAAAAACAAAUGUUUCUAAUGAUAUUUGUUGAGAAACCAAAGGAAUGAAAAUACCUAUUAAUUACUAAGGGCUAAAAUGAAAGUUUUUCUAAAAAAAACAAUGGCAAAUGGGGGAAAAAAUAAUGGGGUUAAAUGAAAACUUAUACCUAAAUAUUGGGGCUAAAUGCAAAUUAAGGAAAAUUCAAAAUCGACACAUCAUUAUGACCUGUUGGUGACUGGUCAAGAGCCCGGAAAUAAAAUGUUUUCUAAAAUAUAAUGGCAAAUGAAGAACAAAAAAUAAAGUUGGGGUUAAAUUGAAACGAAGGCGUAUAAAUAAUGGUUUUUAAGGCAUUAACCCAUUUAAAAACUAUACGAAUAUUUAUAUGUUGUUACAACAUAUAUAUAUAUAUAUAUAUAUAUAUAUAUAUAUAUAUAUCUUAAUUACCUUAUAAAGCAUUUUUGGUCAAAUGCUGAAUUUUAAGUCGUACAAACAUACAAUGCAUUUGUACAAUCAAUUUAUGCAUUACAAAAAGAGUAGAGUACAUAUGGUCAACAAUUGNAAUAAAUAAAUUUUCUUUUGUCACUUGUCACGCUCUUAUUUAAUUUGUCAAAUGUCAUUUUGUAGUUAUUUUUAAUUAAAUUUUUUUCCACAUGUUAUUUUAUAAGCUUUUUUUAAUUUUUUUUAAAUUCCACGUAAUAUUUUAAUGUAAUAAUUGCAAUAAAAAUAAUAAUGAAUAGAUAUCAAUGUCAUUAAUGAACUUUCCUUUUAAUUUAAAAUUUCUCAAAAUUAAACUUCAUUAGUUUGUUUGUUUAUUUAUUUAAAUUAUUUGUUUAAAUUUAAAAUAUAAAAAAAUAUUUUCAUUAUAAUAAUCAUUAUUUUUCUUAUUUUCUUAUAAAUUUAAAGUUCUCAAAUAUUUAGACCAUUAUAUUUAUUUUAAUUUUUUAAAUUAACUCAUGUAAUACAUGGGUCUCACAACUAGUGUGUGUGUGUAUAUAUAUAUAUAUAUAUAUAUAGAGAGAGAGAGAGAGAGAGAGAGAGAGAGAGAAAGAGAGAAAAAAAUAGAGAGAGGAAUAAUCAUUUGAGAACUCAUAGUUUUCCGAGAACCUGAGAACUAAAAAAAGAUCGUUAGAUUAAAAUAAUAAAAGGGUGGCAGUUUUGUAAUACUUGGGAAAAAAGGACACGGGUCAUCUAAUUAAAAUUGAAUCAAGGGCAUUUCAGGCAUAAACAGGUCAAACCUUUUAUCAGAUUGACCCCUACCCUCCUUCUCUAUCCCCCUUUGACCAUCUCUCUCUCCCCUUCGUCCUGCCUCCGGGAACACUCCGUAAUCUCCAGAUCGCCGAAUUUGUAACUAAUGCUCCGACGAUUAGUUGUUGAUCUGUUGCUGCCAAUCUCCUCGACGGAUUUGUAACAAAUUGUCGGAUUCGUAACAGAUCACCGGAUGUGUAACAAAUACAUCGACCAUCGGUUUUUUAUAUGAUAAAAACUAAAUUAUCAGUCAACAAUCUCUCUCGCUCUCGUGUUCUUCAUCGAUUAUCUCUUCUCUGCUCGCCUCCCUCCGCACAUUAACAAUUAGAAAACCUAAUCACUAUAUUUAAAGGAAGUCGGUAAUCUGAUUUAUUGCCCUAAACUUGCAACCGUACGACCACGGGAUGCCUGCUUCUCAUCUAACCUCAUUUAUUUCCAGCUCCACCUCAGGUUUUGCCAUUGCUUAUCUAAUUUAUUUCCAUAGAACACUAUAAUCUCACUUGUUGUGUACAGAUUUGUUUCUAGUUUUUGGUUUCAUUAUAAUCUGAUUUAAUUGACAUGCAUUAGCCCGAAAAUAAUGAUCUUGUGUUAAUGUACCGAAUUUAACGAUUUUGAUAAUGAACGAACUUGUUCAAAAUCGAUAAAUUGACAUUUGUACUUAAUUUAUUCAUCGAUUUCAAAGAAAAUUCAACUAAACAACAUUAAUCUAUAAUGAAUGGUGUCUUGUUCUUUCCAUUUGAUGAUAAAUCUUUUAUCUUCUCCUCACCACCUAAAGCUGGUAUGGAUUCGAAUGAGUGUUCAAAUUCAUUUAAAGUUUUCGGAAUCAUCUUUAUCCUUGCUGAAACACAUUUAGUGCUGCUAACAUCAAAUUUAUGUACUUGCAACUCUUUGAAAAGUUUCUUUCUAGAUGGUUGACCUGUAUAUGGAAGCAAAGUGUGCUUUCAUCUUUAGAGUUGACAUGAAAAAAGCUUCCUUGAAUUUCCCUUUUUCCAUCUCAUCAUUGACACCCUUAACUACAGAAGAUAGAAUAGGUGUUUGUCAGUUUUGCAUUUUGUCUCAUAUUUCUACUAGUCCUUUUCUUUUUGGACCACUUCCAUGUAUCAAACUUCCAAUCACCCAAUUUUCUUUUACGAAGUACAUCAAUCUGCUUACCAUUAUAUGUUGCAUCUAUAACCCUUUGUGAACAUUUUACAAAUGACCCACGCCUGGUUCGAGAAGCCACAGGUGAGAAGGUUUUAACUUCCUUAUCUAGUUUUAAAUUUUCCUUGUUUGUAUCUUAUUUUUGCUUCCAUCGUUUAUAAACUUUCAAAGGUUUCUCAUAUACCUUCUUCUUUGGUUUAGCAAGAUUGUCCCCAAUCAUGCAGUUUUCAGACUUUCCUAGAUUCAGUAACUCGAGAUUCGACUUUCUUACUAGAAAUUAGUCAUCUUAUAUAGUUGUUUAUUGAAACAAAUUUGAUUUAUUGCCCGAACCAAAAACUGUACAGCCAUGGGAUUCUGUUUUAUAUAUUGUAACACCAGUCAAAUUAGGGUAAAAAAUUAAACAUUUAUAAAACCAUAAUUGGGAUGUACCAAGUAGUAGAUAUCGUAACGAGGAUUCAAACAGAUAUAAAGAACACUAAAAUUCGAGUUAUAACGAAGAAGUUAUGACCGCUCGAAAAUCCGCGACAAUACUGGUAAAACACUGUUAAGCGUAAAAUGCGAAAUUCCAAUAAAAUACUUUUUUAGCCUUAAGUAUCUAAAUAAAAGUCGUAGAUAUCAUUAAACCAUGAAUAUACAUAAAAAGGACGCCCAAAUCUGACUUCGUAUGUGGAAGUUAUGAUUUUUCGAAGUUUCAGACAUAGCAGUAGACAGCUAAAAACUUGAAAUAGAGAUCGAGCGAAUUUUUGCCAACAUGACCUAAAUGAGAAUUGAAGAUCUCAUUAAUGGUAUUACAACGGUAAAAAGUCGGACGAAAACGGACGUCGAAUGAAGAAGUUUUGGAUUUUUAACAGACUUUUCCUGUCCUGGCCUAUUAAAAAUAAAUAAUCAAAAAUAAAGUCAAAACUAGCCGACGGAGUGUAAAUGAAAGUUGUAGAGUACAUUCUCACCUACGUGGAGAUAUAAAGAACGUCGAAAACGGAGACCGUACGCGAAAGUUACAGAUUUUACAGGUUCUGGACUCAAUUAUCGAGGAUGGUCCGAAUGAACGCCCCGCGUUUGGAAAAGCUGGGUCUCGGUUCGUCCAUGUCGCUCCGGGUCACAUCUGGGUGCUUCGUCCGAAGCUAAAGUAAGCGAUGACGUCAAGGGUUGCUGAACGCGCUGCGUACGAGCCAAGAACGCCCUGCGUACGAGGUUCGGUCAUACGAGGCUGCCCGGGUUUAUUUGCUUCCUUACUCAUUUAUUUCACCUUGGAACCCCUCUAAAGCCCCUCUAAACUACCUGCAAGCCCCGAUAAACCCCUAGUACACGACGCAAGGCCCGGCGUCCCGAGAUUCCCAAGAAAUCAGCUUUUCCAUUCGAAGUUCUGCUCGAUUUUUAGUCUCAACCUCUUCAAACCACCAAUUCAAUCAAGUGAGUUCAUACCCCCAUUUCUACGUUUUUAAAUACUUUUUUAAAUGCUUUUAACACAUUAUGGGGGAGAAUACAAGUAAACACACGGUUAAUCUCGUGUGAAAACAUCUAUCUCUCGUUAUAACUUUCAGAUUGUUUUUAAUAACUAUCAUAUGGAUCAGUUAACAUACAAAACAUCUUACUUUACUUUACCCUCUCGUAAUAAAACAUGAUUAUAAAUACUAUAAGCUUAUUUAUAUGUUGGCAUCAUAUCAAGGGUAACCAUUUUUACUAUAACAUUCGUAAACAUGCAAGAACAUACAAAUCAUUAUUAUGCCUUGUGAAAAUUGUAGAAAAGGGUAAUUAUUUCAGAGACAAACAUAUUCAUUCUAAUACGUGACUUAAUUGAGAAUUUGUGAGUCAUUCAUCUUCAAUAUACCUUUUAAGGUACCGCUAGAAGUCCUGUUUAUAACCACAAUCUUCCGUCUAGAGAGCAUGACAAGUGUGUAUAGAUCUAUACGAGACUAAUGAUCCCGCGCCCUGACUGCUAGCUACACUCCACGGGGUGACAAGUGUCAUAACGUUUCGACGCCUGAAGAACGUCGCUACAGGAAAAUUAUGAUAGUACGGUUAUAAAAACUCACUGGAUAGACAAUUAUUGUGGUAUUAUGUUUUCACGGGGAAAGUGACUAUUACAGUCACUUUUCAUUUACAAAUACGAUCUUCUUAUAGUUUUGUUUUAUAAUACGACUAUACAUCAUUCUUUUAAGCAUGUCAUAGUUGCUUACAAUUUACGGUCUUUCUCAUUUGAGACUAAAUCUCACUUUUAGGAAAAUAAGGGAUUUUCCUGUUUCAAAUACAUACAGUUUAUACAACGAUCUUUCAUACUCAUUUCAUACAUUUUAUAGAAAAUAAGGGAUUUUCUGGAAAACAUACACGAACUUUCGAAUGUCAUUCAUUUCUUAAAAUACUACUUAUGAACUCACCAACUUUAUUGUUGACACUUUUUCUUUUAAAUAACUUGUAUUCUCAGGAAACCGCUAAACCAGGUAGCAACUACUUUUGAAGACUAACAUGCCGGCGUUAGUAACAUAUUUUGGAUCACCAUAUUGUAUUUGAUUUCUUUUGCAAACAUGUAACACAUACAAUCAUGUAACCUUUUCAGAUAUAUUUAUAAUAUGGUGGUGUGAACUUUCUUUACUAUUCAUUUGUUAUGAUACUUGACAUGACGUCCUCCGCCCCGAACGUUUCCGCCGUUCUGGUUUGGGGGUGUGACAGAUUGGUAUCAGAGCAUUGUUUAUAGUGAACUAAGUAUAUCAAAACCAUUUUUUGAUAUACAACUAUAAACACAACUAAGCAAAAACACUCUGAGUGAGAGUUAUACUUUUAAAAUGAAAUUUUUAUAAAGUAUACAUGCAUACAUUAUAUAACAGGGCCAGUAUCAUAAUGAAAACAAUAUAGAAGUAUUAUAGAUGAGUUGUACAAUAUAGGUAUGCCUUGAGAUAUGUAAUCGGGACUGGGAUGAAUAUAGCAUGAUCAACUAUAUUUGUCCGAGAGCCGACUAACAUAUGCCAGGGGAUAGCUACAAUGGACAACAAAUCUAAAACUUACCCGACUUAUAAACCUUAGAAUCAAACAUAACAUUUAGAAUACUAUAGGAGUAUUUUAUGCAUACAAUAAGUUUAACUUUGAUGUUCAACCUUAUGUGCCUUAGUUCUAGAAAAUCCUUAUCUCCCUAUUCUCGUACAGACACAAUGGCUGGAUUCCACCUACCAGGAGGCCCCUACUACCCGACCCAAGACAGUGGAGAAGGGAUAGAGAAUGAUCCAGAAGAAGAAAUGCAAGAAGACUCAAACCUAAAUCCCGAGGACAAUAACCUACCCUUAGCGGCUCUAAUUCAAAAUCUUAAUCCUCGACCGGAAUUUCAUGGCUCGAUACCUCUAUGGGCAACCAACCUGAAUAGGUGGAGUCGUGAACAGGGUCAACCCCUUCCAUACAAUGGAGACCAAAGCUUCUACAAUCUGAGCGAGGGAGGCUCAGCAGACAGAGUCCUUCCUAUAUUGGUUCGGCGAAUUGCUCGCAUUGUUGAACAAGGAAGGAUAACCAUCCAUCGAAUUGAGGAGAAUGAUGGGGACACUGGAGUCAAUACAGUUCGCAUCCGACAAUUAGGAUUAGCUCAUGGUAGAAUCAUAAAUCAAAAUGAAGAUUGGCAGAGAGAGCUAACUGAAACUCAAACUGAAGUCAGGGAACUUAAAGCAUGCCAUGCAAGGUAUGAUAUGCGUUUGCUCAAGAUGGAACGUCAGUUGGCAGGUCAAAAGGCUCAGCAGAACAGUUCCCGUCGCCAAUAUACUCUACUCACUCCUUCUUUUGGUUUGUGGAAAAACCUUCGUGCGUACUCAAAGUAGUACUCUUUUUGUGUAAAUAUUCCCGUCUAGCAAUUUCUGUUUCACUAAACCUCUAUGCUGUCAAUUUUUCCCUAUAUGGUAUGUUGUAGGCCUACACCAAGGUCAAGUUUUCUGAAUUCUAUGUAACUUCUAUACCAACUAUUAUGACAAACUUCUUGCUUCUUUUAAAGAUCAUCAUUAUCAAUCCAUGCUUUGGGCUAUGUAAACAGUUUGUGUCAUAAACUGUUAUAGCAACUCACUACACUGUCCAUGUCGAUCUAAUCUAUUGUAGUUCAAUGUUAUUGAACUCAAUGACAUUGGCAAAGUCUUUCCACCAUUUCAUUUGUACCCUAUAGCUGGAAUUGCCUUCUCGCUAUUCAAACAGACUCAAUCCUUUAAUAAAUUCAACUUUUCUACACCCAUUAGAGAAAGAGACAGUUACCAUAGAAUGACAAACCUUUACAACUUCAACUAAGGGCAAUCCAAACAAUGACAAAGAUUAAACAUGUUGGAUUAUAUGUCUAAGCCAAUAACUAUUAUCGGUAUGUACUUGACCCGAGAGUAGCAUGGUCCAUUUGGGUUGCAUAUCAUUAGGACAAUUUGUUAGGAUGGACUUUAGAGAGAAGGUGUUAUAUAUGAUUUAUUAAUAUAUUAUAAGUUAUAAUAUAUUAAUAUGAAAUCAUAUGAGUUAAUUAGUAUUGAUCAAGAAUUAAUUUGGAAUUAGUUUAGUGAUCAAUAGAGACUAAUGAAAUCUAUGGGGACUAAUUAUGUUAAUUAGUUAUAUUUAUGUGUGUUGGGCUUAUGAUCCAUGUUGGACUAACUUUAUGUAUGGAUACAUAAAGAGUUGGGCCACAUGAACCAUGGAUAAUAAGACCCAUGGGUAUGGAUUUGGGUUAUAUCCAUGACCCUAGAAAUUCCACAUAUAAAUACAUACUUCAUUGCUCAAAAUCGCCACUUGAGGAUUCUUGGAGUUCAUGGUGGUUUUAGAUGCAUGAAGAUUCUCUCUCAAGUUCUUCCUUUGUCUAUGGUGUGUUGUGAUUCCACUUAAGGCUUCCACACUAUUGGGGCUAAGCUCUUAAGGCUAGAUACAUCAAUACUUCAAGCUCCACCAUAAGGUAUGUUAUCCUAACUAGAUUUUAUGACAAUUGCAUGCUAGUUAUAGGUUUAAUACCUUGGAAACACCAUUGCAUGUAUAAUUAUAAUUAGUGAAAACAUAGAUCCAAGGUAUUUAGGGUUGCAUGAACACCUUAGGAGUGUUAGAAUGCUCAAAACCCAACAGUGGUAUCAGAGCCUAGGCUUGUUUUCAAUUGUACUUGAUGCAAACUGAUUCCCAUACAUUAUUCGGUAACAACAAUCAAAUUACAAACAUAGUGAAAAAUAAACUUUGAAUGACAAUUUAAAUAGAUAAUCACCCUACACUUUUUUCCAUAUAAACUAUCAUUCAUGAUUCACUUUUUCACAUUUGAUAAAUGUGUGUUAGCCUAUGGUUGUUACCGUGUGAGAUAUGGAUGUUGGGUGGUAGUUAGGUUAAACAACAUAAGAGAAACACCAACAUUAGAGGAACACUCAUUGAGUACAUCUCACCAUCAUACCCACAACGAUGCAUAUGAGGAACAUAGAGAGUUUGAUGUGGUAAUUAAAAACAAGUGUAUUUUUCUUUUUUAUAAUAAAAAUAUUUGUUAUGUUUAUAAAUGAUUUGUAGAUAAUAAUAUCCAUUAAUUCAAUGGUAAUUUUUAGAAAAGUCCAAAUAUUUUGGUUAUCAGGUGGUUUACGGAAAAGUCCCAAAAUUUUAAGGAAACUAACGAAAAAAGACAGAAUACCGGCUAAAUCUGCAAAACCGUCCAAAAAUGGUUUUUUCGAAGUUUUAAUCGGUAUUCUGUGCUUUUCUGUAAACAAAAUUUAGUUUGAGAUUUUAUCAUAAAUUAGACUAAAAUAUUGAGAUUUUUCUGAAGAUUUCUUUAUAGAUUUUGUUAAUAAAUAAAUAGAAAGUUGUAUAGAUGUAUUUGUGGAACAUUUUUAUUAAAAUAAAAUAUUAAUUGAAAAGUAAAUAUAUCAAUAUUUAAAUGUUAUUAGAAUAAGUAAUAUUUAAAUAAUAAAAAUAAUAAUAGAAUAAUAUCAAAAAAUGAUAAAAUUUAAUGAUCGAUUACUUUUUGAAUAAGGUUUUUUUUUUCUUCAGGAAAACAAUAUUAACAUAAAGGCAUAAAAAGAAAUUAUUUUACUAAAAGUGUCUAUAAAGGGGUCCUUUUAGCACCAUCCAUUUUAUUUUUUAACUUUUGCAACCCAAACUCUUUAAAGAUAAAUUGGACACAUGUUAACAAAAAAAACAAGAACACCGGUCAGUAAAAGUUGUUCUUUCAUAUUUAAAGUGAUUAUCUAUUCUAAUAAAUGAAAAUCUUUUUGCCACAUACCAUACUCUCAUUGAUUUCGCCACAUGUCAUUUUGUGAUUAUUUUGAAUUAAAUUUUUUCAAAUGACAUUUUGUGGUUGUUUUCAUUUUUAUUAAAUUUCACAUAAUAAUUAAUUAAAUAUAUUGAUUGCAAUAAAUAUAAUAAUAAAUGCAUAUCAAUUUCAUUAAUUGACUUUCCUUCUAAUUUCAAAAAUUUUAAAUUAAAACCUCAUUAGUUUCAUUUGUUUACUUAUCUAUUUUUUUUAAAAAAAAAUUUAAAAGAAUAAACACUUUAAUUUUAAUAAUUCAAUAUUUUUCUAAUUUUUUCUUAUAAAUUCAAACUUUUUAAAUGUUUAGAAUGUCAUAUUUAAUUUUUUUAUAUAAUAAACUAAUGUAAUACAUGAGUCUUACACCUAGUUAUCUUAAAAACAUAUCAAAGAAACUAUUUUUUUAAUCUAUUUUUCCAUUAAUCAGUAUAACAUGAUUAUGCAUAUUUAUUGUCUUACAAAUUACUUUUGAUUUAAAUGUUUUAUAAAGAUAGCUAAAACUUAAAUUCUACUUUGUCAUAUUAUUUGCUAAUUAGAUAUUAUAUUUAUUAAAGUGUUUAUUUAUCCUUUCUUUUGUUUGUAAUUCUUUGUAACAAUGUUUUUCUAAUUUCUUACAAGUUUAGUAAAAUCAUGUUGUUAAAAAAAAAGGUUAAUUUGAACAAUUGAUAUGAAAAAAACAUUAGGUGAAAUAAUCAAAAUAUUCUAUCCAUUUCCGCAAAAGUUGAUACUAACUCUAUGAUUAUGAAUCCAUAAUUAUUACAAGGUUAGUUUGACUCUUCGAGUGUGUGAGUCUGGCGGGUCCCAUUAUCCCAAUUAUGAUCGUGAGUCCUAAACUCCCAAAGUACUUCAUCUUAUCGAAAAGAAGUUUUGAAAAUUAAUGCCUCUUGGUUUGUUAUUCCCAAAUGGGUUUUUCAUGGGCUGAAGACUCACCAUGAAUAAGUUGUUGCUGAAAAGGAUUCAUUGCUUGGCUUGUUGCUUCGAACCGGUUGAAUCUUUGUUCUUGUUCCUGAAUAUUUAGUGAUCUCGAUCCUCCGAUCCCCAAGAAAUCAACCGUUAACAUGUCAUUGCCGCCUAACUUUGACGUCAUACUCAUUUUCCCUCUCUCUUGAAUCAAGGUGGAAUUUUCAUCACUUCUAUCUUCAUGAUUAGUUUCAUGAUCUUGAUGACCUCCCAUCAGCAAUUCACUAUAAAUUCCCAAAUCAUUCAUAUUUGGAUUAGGGUCUGGCCCGAACGAAUCUUGUGGGUCGGGCUUUUGCAAGGGAUUAUACCCUUCAGUACUCCCGUCAUUGAUUCCAAUCAUAGUUGUUUGAUUAGGUUGGAUGUGAAAAGUAUCAUAACCCCCUGUUCCUUGAAUUCCAUAAGGUGAUACAGGCCUUGGCCUAUGUGAAUUGAUUUGAUCCGACCCUGUCAUGCUUGUAACAAAACUCUUUUGCAUCAUUGGAGAAUUAACCCCAAUGCUUGCAGUAGCAGUAGCAGUAGCACCCAUUUGAGCCGCUUUUUGAAGCAACGCUGUAGCCGACAUAUGGCCUGCGAGACCAGGAAGUAGUCCACCAACCUUACUAUCUUGUUGGAAGUAUCCAUAACCCAACGAGCCAUUUGUCGAGCUGAGUUGCAACCCAGAAGACGAUGAGGAGCCACCUCUUGGGUUUCCAAAAAGGGUACCGGAACUACUCGAAUACAUGUCUGCUGACAUGUUUAAAGACUUGAAUGGCAUUGGAACCAAGUCUUGACGAGGCAAUGAUUUAAUCGAGGCUUUUGGUUCAUAAUUGUUAAAAUCGGGUAAACCCAUUAACAUGUUCCCAGAGUCGAUUGAAUUUGAUGACAUUAUAUGAUCAUGCAUAUGUUGAGGUUGUAACAUCCCUUGGUUCACCUUGUUGUUUUCUUCGGCUAAUGCAUCACAAAAUGCUCUAUGAGUUAUAAAGCUAUCUCUCCUGCACAUUAAAAAAAAAAACCAUAAAUUCAUGAUCCAUAAGCUUUCAUAUUAAAAGAAAGAUAAAACCACUAGUUUGGAAACAAAACCUUGAGAAUAUGGUCCCACAAUCACACUUAUAUUCUCGAGUGCCGCAUGUCUUUUGAUGAGCUUUCCAAUCAGAUUGAACUGCAUAUUUCUUGGAACACUUGUCACAUUUCCAUUUUUUCUCUCCAUGUUUCCUACUGUAAUGUUUUUUUAUCCCUGUGAGAUCACCUAGGGCUCGAGCUGGAUUGUGAUGAACACAAGAUGGCUCUGGGCAUACAUACACUCGCUUCCUAGUCUCUGUGCUAGUUCUUUGUCUUAGUUUCCAUGGAAGAUUAUGGCCUCGUCGGUGCAAUUGUAGGUUUUGGUCUCUCUGAAACCCUUUGUUGCAGAUUUCACACACAAAUCUGUUAGUUGCCAUGAGUGUCGUUGGUGAUAAAGCAAUAACUUCUGCUGUAGGGUCUGUGUUACAAAAUAAAAAAAUUAAUUAAGUAUUAGAAUUAUUCUAAUUUUAUUAAUCAAUUAUGAAGAUCAUAAAUGUGCAUAAUCCUACCUAUAUAAGUAUUUAAGAAAGGCGAUGAUCCCUACCCAAUAUUUUUUAGCCAUACACAACAAUUUAUCUUUUAUACACUUGUUGUAAAGUACAACCAUCUAAAACAUAAAUUGUUAUCUAUGAAUAAAAAAUAUUAUAUACAAAUCAUUCUAAAAAAAUGGGUCUUUUAAGUUAUAUUUGAAGACAUGAGGAUAAUAGUGAGAAAUUUAAAAAUUACACAUGUCUAUAAAUGUGGUUCGUAUUUUAAACAAUUAAUUUUUUUUAAUAUCUAUAUCUAUAUAUCAUACCAUAUUAUAAAGUGUAUUCAUCAUAUCUUGAAUUUUAAAAGAUAUAAAUUAGAAAUUUUUUUUGUACAAAUGAUUUAUAAAUAAAUAAAUUAUUAAUACUUGCAAAAAAAUAUGAAGACAUAAAGGAAGAUUAUUAAUAAAUUCAAUUUGUAGCAAAAUAAAAAUAUUGAAGUCAUGUAUAUGAAUUAAUUUAUAUAGACAAUAUAAAUAUAACCUAUAAAAAUAUAUAUUUUACUUAAAAUUGAUAAUUCUUUUAUUAAUUAAUAACUAAUAAUAAAUUUUAAUAAUAUUUUCCCAUAAAAAUACUAUCAUCCAAAAGAGCUAUUUGACGUCACCGUUUUACGCGGGCACACGUCUAGUAUCCAUUGAGUCAUUUUAUAUUUUUUGGGUAUGUUAUUAAUAUCCGUCGACGAUNNNNNNNNNNNNNNNNNNNNNNNNGAUUGUUCCUGUAUGUUAAUUUUUUUUUUUUAAAAGUGAAUAUUAUUUAAUAUUAAUACUUUGUUAUAUAUAUUUAUUUAUUAUUCUUAUUUUUUAUUAAAUUGGUAUUUUGAAGAUUUGAUGCAUGACAUGUCCAUCUAAAAAAAAUACUUCUAUUCAUCCAUAGCAAUUGAAAAGACAAGAUGUUAGCUUUGUUUAUUUCAGAUAUAUUCUUUUAUUAUCUAUCUAAAAAAAAUUAUAUAAUAAUCUAAUAAAAAAUAAAAUAAAAUUAUAUAAUAAUCACUUUCAUUAUACGGUAUUAAAAAAAUAAUAACAAGUGUAAACAACAUACAAAUUUUAACAAAACUAGAAUUGUAUAGUAUAUAUAUUUUUAUUUCAACCUAUACAUUUUGAGUUUAAUGAAAUAUAAGGUUAUAGGAUGUGUAAAUUUUUUACCAAUGAAAAAGAUAUGCCAUAUAGACACCAUGUAAGCAUUUGUAUUUCUUAAUAAUUUUUGCCUAUGAUAAUUGUGUGUUAAUUUUUUACCUAUGAAAUUAAAAAAAGAAAAGUUUACAAAUGACCGAUCAAGAACCAUGGAAUCAAAAGUUCAAUUUACCACAGAACACCGGCGGCAUAAUACCACAGGUGAAAAAAGAAGUGGGGGCGGUGUUACUGCCGACAAAAAAUGCCCAAUUAGAUUACCGGCGGUAACAUCUUUCCGACAGAUACAAAAACAAGUUUCACAUUAUUAACUAUUAAUCACUUUAACUUACUUCGGCAAUGAAUAUGUAUAUGAAUUCGUAAAGACACUAAAAGGAUUUGUGUUCUAAUUAACACCAUAUAUCAAUUAGUACACUAAUUAUUAUAUAUAUAAAACCUGGAGUUCCUGGUAGGUUUCUUUUCUUUUUAGGAGGAGGUGGGAGUGAAGUGGUUGCAUUGCUAGAAUUUCCGCCAUGGAAAUGGUUCUUCAAGUUUUGAACUUGCUUUCCUUGAGCUUCUUCUGCUGAAGAAAAACUCCCUUCAUCUCCUGUAAUAUUCGACAUAUUUUUUUUUGUUGCCAAAAAAUCCACCAAAUUUUAGUGUAAUUUAUUGCUUGUUCUUUUUUAUAUGGAGCAAGAGAAAAGCUAUCUAGAACCUUCAAAACCAGAAGAUGAAUUCUGGUUUGAAUUAUUGAAGGAGGAGAAGAAGGAGGUUUGCAUGUAUUAUGUGUCAUUGUUUGGCUUAUAUAUAUUUAUAUACAUAUACAAGUGUUCAUAUGACACCACCCUCCUUCAAACCCCACCACUACGCUUAACCCUAAACUUUUAGUAAUAUACUAAUAUUAUAAUCAUUUAUAUAAUUGUCUUUAAAUGAUGACCUGAUUAAAUCUUAACUUCUACAAUGUUUAUUUUUGCAAAAUUCAGGAGAAAAUCCAUUUUCAGUUUUUUAAAGAGUCAAAUCCAAGAAAUGACAUAUCGUUCACGAUGAAAAAAAAAACUAUCAUAUUCUAAAAUAUCCUGUAAAAGUUUAUACCAUUUAAAAAGAAUUAUCAUAAACUUCACGAAAAAAACUAACAUUUAGUAACUUCUAAAAAACGAAUCAAUUAUUUACAAUCGUGUGUCAACUGGAAAAGCUCUUUAAUUUUGUUGUUACUCUCCCUUUUGUACCUAUUCUAAAUUUCAUCGUGACUUAAAGAUAACUUACUGUAUUCUUUAUUUUUUUAAGCAAAAGAAAUAAAAUACACAUCUCAAAAUGUAGAUUAAACUUCUUGGUUUUGGAUUCAUGUAAGCUUUCCACACCAAUAAAGUUCGUUAAUUGGUAUGCGUUAGAUCUAGAUGUACAAUACCGUUUUUUAUUUAUUUAUUUAUUUUUAUUUUAUAUAUAGUUAUAAUUGGUUUGAUUUUUUUGAAGUGAAAUUGUGUUAAAAAACCAUUUUUUUGAUAGACUGGUUUCGGUUAUAAUUUGUUCAAUUUUUUUCGAUAGAUUUAAAAAAAUCGGUUUGAAAUGUGCACCGCUAGUUAGACCCUUAGAGGUCUAAUUAGUCUUGUGGUUGAACUCUUAGGUUUUAGAGUGUGUGGCUCUUUUAACAACUACAUGUUGGUGAUUUUAGUGUCGUUAAACAUUUUGUGUAAUUGAAAUUAUUAUGUGAGGUAACAUGUUUAUGAUUUGUACUAUAUAUUAUAUGUUCGGUGUGUGCGGAGUGUACACAUAUAUAAGAUCGAAUUAUAAAUCAAUACAACAAAAUUACGGGGGUUAAGAGGGCAGAGCCCCUGGCUAUGGCCCUGCUGACCGACUAAUGAGCGGGAUCUAGGGGCAACGCUCCGAAAGAUCAUCAAAAUUUUGAAUUAGUAUCAUAGUGGAAAAUCUAAAUUCUAGUGGGUGAUUAUGAUCAAACAGACAAAUCUCGCUAGUUUUGAAAACCAUUGAUUAUGCCAUUAAUUUUGUGAUUUAGUUAACUAAUUUAGAAGAUGAAAACUCGAAUUAUCAAGUAUAAAAAUGUGGCUUUUCUCUUGAGUCGGAUCACAACCUUCUCAACUCUUCUUCUUCUCUAAUGAACUCAGAAUUCUCUAGCAAUUUGACUUACGUUCCCAUGCUUAGAUUCGUAAGUGUCCAUUUGGAUUAUUCUAUAUUGAAUUUCUUAUAACUCGGGCAUAUGGUAGAAAUAUCAAUUUGGAAAACGAUCUUACAUAAUCCAUUAGGAAUCCAUAUCUCCACCACAACCCUUCUAAAACACUAACAUUCGAACUAAUAUAGCGAACAUGGCAUAAUCAAUCCGCAAGUUGACCACAAAGUUCAACAAAAUCAAAAUUUUUGAAGGCAUUGAUUUCAGGCGUUGGCCGAAGAAUAUGCACUUCAUGCUGACCACAUUAAAAUUUGCAUAUGUGUUGAGUACUCCACGACUUGAGGUGGUUGAAAAUGAGACAUUGGAAGAGACCAAAAAGAGAUGCGAGUGGGUCAACGAUGACUACAUAUGCAAAUGUCAUAUUUUGAAUGGUGUGUUUGAUUCUUUAUUUGAUACCCAUAGUGACGUUAAAAGUGCAAGGAAUUGUGGGACACCCUUGAAUUAAAGUACAUCGUUGAGGAUGCUUCUAGCAAGAAGUUUCUAGUUAGCAACUUUAAUAAUUAUAAAACAGUUGAUUCAAGGUCUGUCAUUGAAGAAUAAAUGAACCCCUUCGUAUUUUGGGUCAAUUCAAAUUGCACAAAAUGAAUAUAGACGAGUCCAUUUCCUUGUCAAGUACGAUUAACAAACUUCUAAUGGGUUUUAUAGGUUACACAAAUCUUAUUUUGGCGGAAAAAAUUAAACCCUAAGUUCACAAGCAACCUAACGGAUCUAUGUUCUCACUAUGAUUUGCAACUAAUAAUUGAAUAUCAAAAACCUAGAAGUACAUUUCUAUUUUUGAAAUUGACGAAUGGUUAUUAUAAAAAUCCAUACCUUCUGUUUAUAAUAUAGCAAAUAAAAAAAUCCUUCUUGAUUGAUCUUCAGAAAGCAAGCACCAGAAGUCUUAUGUCUCUAAUGGCUCACACCCAAACCAUAGCAAGUUGGAGGCUAAAUAGGAGAGAGGAUGAAAAGGAGCAUUUUCGGACUUGAGGCUCUAGCAAGCAUAAUUCCGAAAAUCUAAACCCUUGGGGGGUUUAUAUAGGUAUUAAGAAAGUAGUGGAUAAGGCAUGUUCCUUUUAGAUAACCCUAAUCCUCUUACUUCCUUCCUAAGGCAUCCAAGCUUCCUUAGAACAAAAAAAAACUCUAGAAAACCUCUAGAAACCGUCCCCCUUAUGGGAGGUCAUAGACUUGGUCAAUGUUCAACUUUUGAACAUUGUCACCUUUAGUCCUUCUAUUUUUAGUUAAUCCAAUUAAUUCUAAUUAAUUUUUAAUUAAACACUACUAUUUCUAAUUAACAUAUUAUUCUCAUAAUAUAUUAAUAAAUCAUUUAUUUUAAUUUAUAGUUUUAUUAAUCAUAUAAUAAAUUAAUAAAUCAGUCUCUCUCUCUAAAAAGCAUUCCAAUCAAUUACUAGGUUUAAGGGCAACCCAAAAGGUCUUUCCUAAUAAUUAAAGAGUAUACCAAUUUAGUUAUUAGUUUAGACACAUAAUCCAACAUUAUCCCACUUAGAUAAGUCUAAAACUAAAUUACAAGUAUAACUUUUAAAUUAAACAACAAAUGGUGAUUUCUAAUGCAACCGUCGAACUUUGGUCUGAUCAAAUACUUGUCCUUAGAUAAGUGAUCAAAUAUUCCUUCAUUCUACAAGAUAUCAUAUGGAUAUAAGAUAUGGAUUAAAACCAAUCUCAUUGUCUAAAAUUCUAUUUCCCAAUUUCCUAAAUUGAAAUGACGUUAUAAGACUUCUAAUUGAACACAUCAAUUUAGUCUUGGUUAUGCCCAACACUAUAAGUCAACAUCAAAUCAUGGAAGGGCCCAAAGAUAUCACUUUUCCCAUUAGGGUAAAAGGAACGAAUAAACUUUGACUCAUAUGCUUGUAUCUUUUACUCACCAAAUCGCACAUGACACUAAGUUUUAUAACAUCAAGUUACUGAUACGUUUUCGCAAUACCAAUGUACAACCGACUUGUAAAUUACAACUCAUAUAUCUCCAUUUUAAGAAUAUAAGAUAUUAUCGUCUCAUAAUUACUCGUGAUAUAAUCCAUAAAGUAAUUCUUUAAGCGUGGGUUUUUCCAAUACUCAAAAUCUCCGUUUUCUAAGUAUUCAUGAAUAUUAUAGCAAUCAUUGCAAUGUCUAAUCUCCAUAGACAAUCUACAAUACAAUUCAUGACAGUCUUAAUUCUCUACUUACUUCCAAAAGUAUGAACGACUGUGGAAUUUCGAAUAAUCAAAUUAUUCAGGAAGCAAAACAUGCAAAGUGAAACACAAUAAUAAACUAAUUACCUAUAGUCUCAAAACUAUUGAAAAUAAAUAAUACUCUUAUUAUUUAAUCGGGGUUGGGACUUCGAGGAUUGCUCAUAAGUGAAGCUACUUUAAGAUUGUAGAGAGAGUGAAUGAGAGUGGUGUGCAUAAAUGGUCUGACCAACCUCUCUAUUUAUAGUCAUGGAUUUGGGGUGCCACCCUUCUAAGGUGACACCUUCAGAAGCAUCAAAUCCACCACCUGGAACUCAAUGUUUGAUCGUUGCCGGUCAGCAUAACUCUUCUAUCGGCUCUAGGUUGUCUGAAAUCUUUGUCUGGUCUGUUGGAUAAGCUUUGUAGUCUGAAGAAUUACCUCGGUUCUACCCAUAACUCUGUGACUGAUCCUCUCCCCAACAAACCGGUGUGUGACACUUCCUCCUAUAUAGAAGCUCAAAAGGCGGUGCACCGAUACUAGAAUGGUAGCUGUUGUAGUAGUAAAACUCAGCUAGGGGAAGAUAGGAAUCCAAAAUCCCACCAAAAUCAAUAACACAAGCCCUCAACGGAUCCUUGAGCGUCUGAAUGGUCCGCCCACUCUAUCCAUUAGUCUGAGGGCGAUAAGCGGUGCUAAAAUGCAGUCUCGUUCCUAGAUCCUCAUGAAACUUCUACCAAAACCGAGAAGUAAACUGCACAUCUCGAUCAGAUAAAAUAGACACUGGCACCCUAUGGCGAGCAACGAUCAUGCACACAUACACAUCAGCCAAAUUCUAGACCGAAGAACUCUAUCGAAUAGCCAUAAAGUGGGCAUGUUAGAUGCAUUUUAUAUGCAUCUUUUAGCAUGAUUUCCUUGUUAUUUUGUUUUAAAAUGCUAACUAACUCCUGAUUAUUAUUAUGUAUUGUGUGUUUCGUGAUUAUUUUGUAGAAUGCCCAUUACUGCUCACGUUUGUUAUGAUUUUUCAGGGUAAUUUGGAACACAUGGAUGAUUACGCUAGUUUGGGAUGCGUUAAUGGAUACUUUGGAGCUCAACUGGAGUCUAGACUAAGGAAGGUUGCCGAAGAAUGAUCAAGAACUAAUUGGAAGGAGGAACGACGAUCAAAAGACACGAAAAUGAGAACAUGCGAUCGCAUGUUGUCCCUAUGCGAUCACAACUUUUGUGACAACCCAAGUUGUCCCGUUACAUUUCCCCGUUACUGUUAACGGAAUAUUCCAGUUUAUAAAAGUUUCGUUAAUUAGAGGUCGUCAAGUAAAUAAACAUUCCAUUUGUUUACAUUAAAUAUGCCGUUAAGUCGUGAUAAAAGGAAAUAAAAACACAUAACACACAUUUCCAUUUAAUUGGAAAAUGUUAAAUUUAUUAUUACGACCACUAAAUCGGGUGCGACCAAAAGCCCCGUUUAACGGCAGUAUCGGGUAGAAUUCCACUGAGCCCCGACUCGAACCCCUAUAUAAAGGUGAGUGGAGUCCAUUGGAGACUUUUUACACUCCCUAAACACUCUCUCUCUAGACCCGUUUUCGCCCCAAAUCCGCAACCAAACGCUUCCAAAUCGUAAGUCCACUUAUCCUAACUUGUUCUAAACAUAUUGAUUUGUGUUUAUAGCUUAUAAAUCAGACUUGGAAGCUGUGAAAGAGGAGUUUACGGCCUAAGCUCCUCCUUAGGCCGUAAACACCUAAAAUGAGGCCAAAAUGACCCCAAAAUGUCCCUAAAGGCUUGGAAAUAAAUUAAGGGAUUUGCCUAAGAGUGUUUAAACAUUAAAUCACUAGGAUUUAGGGUGUAAAAUGGAGUUUACGGCCCAGGCAUAUGCCAAGGCCGUAAACACCCCUUAAACAUGUCAAAAUGCCCCAAAAACACUCUUAAAACACCCUUGGACUUAAUACAUAAAUUAAUUAGGGGCUUAUCCUCUUGGGUUUAGAUCAUUUAAACAUAAGGAUUUGGAGGAUUAAAAGGAGUUUACGGCCCAGACAUGUGUCAAGGCCGUAAACUCCCCAAACCAAGCCAAAAAUGUGGUUUUUGCCCCCCAAAUGGCCUUAGACUAUUUCUAUAAAAUGCUAGGAAGGUAUUAGGGGCUUAAAACUUCACUAAACUCAAGGAAUGAGAGUUUACGGCCGUAAACUCCCUUAGGAGUUGUCCCUGGGCCGUAAACUCCAUUAAGAUGCCCUUAAAGACCUUAAACCCACUCAUACUAUAUAGUUUUGGACCUAGAAUAAUUCCAUGAACAAGAUUGAAGCCUUAAAACACACUAGAUCCCCUCACCAUGAGUUUACGGCUGUAAACUCAUGGUGAGUAGUCCCUGGGCCGUAAACUAAGUGAUAAGAGUUUACUCUCGGAGAGUAAACUCCAUUCCUAAGCCAUACACACCUUUAGACGCUACCCGGGACACCCCAAACACUUAACUAAAGUGUUUUCCGCUCCUUUGAGUGAGUAUACUUGUUUAAUUAGUAUUAAAUAUACUAAUUGUAUGUGAAAAUAUGUUAUCAUAUGUUAAAUAGGGCAUUGAGCGUGUUCGAGUCUUUACGUGACACCGAACGCCCAAACGGCACCUUCGUCGGACCUACUUACACCAGGUGAGUUCAUACCCCUGAAUGAACCUUUUAAAUGUUUUUACAUGUUUUAUAGGGGGGGGAUACAAGUUAAACAUGCCAAUUAUCAUAUCAAUCACAUGUGAUUGAUAACCCGCAUGCACAAGAUUUUACCACACUAUACACUGUUUAACCGAGUAGGACACUAUAAUGGUUUUCAAAAAGGGAUUCCAAUUGUUUCAAAACUCUUACUUAUACGGUUUUAUCUAAAAUUAUUUCAAACUGGUUUAUAAAGGUUCCAAGGAUUUCUAAGGUUUUCANUGGUUUAUAAAGGUUCCAAGGAUUUCUAAAGGUUUUCACACUGAUUUUACCAAAGAAUACAAAAUGCCAUUUUCCUAAAUAUAAAGGUUUUCCAAGGUUUUCGUCAAAGUUCUCUUUCACAAUGUAUAUUUUUUUUACUUGUUAGUUACUACUGCUCUGCUUUCAUGUAUUUUAAACUCCUACUUGAUAACGCUUUCACUCCGCGAUACGUUUAUACCUGUUAUUGUAUCUAUUUCACUUAUACUCGUAGUCGCUUAUACCUGAUAGACGCUCUUACUUCACUUAUUGUCGCUUCUACUUCGUGAUACGCUUAUACUUGUUCGACACUCCUACUUCACUUACGACCACUCCUACUUCACUUGCUAGACACUCCUACUUCACUUAUGACCACUCCUACUUCACUUGCUAGACACUCCUACUUCACUUACGACCGCUCCUACUUCACUUGUUAGACGCUCCUACUUCACUCGUUAGACACUCCUACUUCACAAGAAUCCCUUCCACUUGAUACACACUCAAGCGUAGUUAGAUGUAUGUCUGUGCUUGUAUAGAUGCAUAUAAAUAAUGAUUGAAGGACUUAGGAAGGCUUGUCCGCCCUAUUUCCUUUUCUUCGUUGAGAUGUGGUCUGGUGGGAUCGGAUGUCCAUCCGAAGGUCGUUUGAUUCAUUAGUUAUAUAUUAUGUACACAAGCAUAGACAUAUGGGUUUACUUCAGUCAAUUCAGUUAUGAGUCUCUACCUCUAGUUCAGCACUUACAUUAGAAACCCACUAUUUGGAAGUCUCUACCCACUAUUUGGGAUGCAUCUUCAGGACACGGCCUUCUCCGUCGUCUAGUUGGUAACCAGAAUCUCCUGUAGGGAGAGCGGACAUUAUGUGUAUAGAUCUAUAUGGGAUUGACAACCCCGCACCCAAACUGCUAACUACAGUCCCGGCCUACCAAGCCAACGGGUGACAAGUGUCAUAUUUUAGACGCUUGGGGUGUCUGGNGGCGUCUGGUACUCUAGUCAGUAUGGUUACGAGUAUCCCGGGUUACCUUAUAAUUCUUUGGCCUUAAGGUAACGGUAUUUCGCCAGCAAUUUACACUGUAUGCUGGUAAUUCAUUUUCAGAGUCACACUAUUUUGACCUUACAAGACGUAUCUUUCAUUUGAUACAGUCUGGGGUCUGAAUAAACUGUUUUGACCUUACAAGACGUAUCUUUCAUUUGAUUCAGUCUGGGGUCUGUAUUCACUGUUUUGACCUUACAAGACGUAUCUUUCAUUUGAUACUGUAUGGGGUCUGUAUUCACUGUUUCAGACCUUACCAGCUGUACCUUUCAUUUGGUACCUUCUGGGGUCUGUGCCUCCAUUUGUUAGACUGAACCAGGCGUGUCGUUCGUUCGAUACUCUCCUGGAGUCUAUGAUUCCUUGCCUUAGUCAGCAGUCCUCACUGCUGAGGCAUAUGUUAUUCCCUGAUGUCGUUUGCUUUCCUCAAUAAUCAAAUUCAGUAUUUUGAUAAUGAUAGCAAUUUAGGGAAAAUAACUUUUUACCACAUAACACUGACCAGUCUUGGUAGAAGGCUGCUUUAUUAAAGAAAAUAUAGGAUUUUCUAGAAAGAACUCUAAUACACAGUAAACACUUAAACUAUUACUUUAUAAAGCUAUUUGAAUGAAAUGUCACUAAAUACUUAUGAACUCACCAACAUUUGUAAAAAUGCUGAUACUCGCUUUUCAAAUAACUUGUAAUCUCAGGUUAGCAUUAGACAGGUACACCCCUGGAGCUGUUGAUGAAGACGGCUUAGUACCUUGCUAUACUUAUUAUAUUUGUUUGUAUACUUUGAAUUGUUGUAAUGUAACCAUGUAAAAUUAUUACUAUUAAUGCAAUGUUUUGUUAUACUUUGAUUACUAUAAUGCAUGUGUUGUGAUACUUGACAUGACAUCAUCCACCCCAGAACGUUUCCGCCGUUCCGGUUUUGGGUUGUGACAGCUUUGUCCUUGCGAUCGCAGGUUUUGUUGCAGCUUCGCUUCAGAGAUUUUUCAUGCCAAAAAUUGAGAAAACCCACUUCAUGCGAUCGCAGGUUGGCCAAAAUGCAUCGAAAUGGUAUCAUCCUUCAUUUAAAAGGCCCGUGAUGCAUUUUCGGUAAUACAUGCGAUCGACGGUUGUCCUUAUGCGAUCAUAUGCACAACAUUUUUGCAGCUGGACGUAUAAAUAGAGCCACAGACUUGUCUAGUAACCCUAAUUGGCGAUUCCUAGCGAUUCUAAGGCGAUUUUUAGAGACUUUCAAGUGAAGAACGCAGAUCCGAAGGAGACGAUUCAAUUUCUUUUCAUUGUUUAGUAAGAUUUAUCGUUUAGACUCUAUUUCUACUGUUUGUAAUUCGUUUUUAGCCAUGUCAGGCUAAAAACUAUGAUUUCAGUUUCGCAAAGACGUAACCUCUUUGUAUGAUUAAUCAUUAGACACUACGUUUAACUGUGAUUAUUAUUUAGUUUGAUCAAUUUUGUGUUAAAUUGAAUGUUUGAUUUUGAUUUCAAUUUCUGUUGGCCACUUAAAUUGUUUGUGAGUCAUUCUAGUAAUCUAAUUGUUUAGAUCUGUAAUUGUCUAGAUUAAUUGGUAAAAAGUAACAAAUAUUGGAUUAAUUCUGUGUUUAGGGUUAACUCUAAUAUGAACUGAUCGAACAAGUGUUUACGCCUCCGAGCUCAUGAGAGGUAUUGGACUUUACUGGGAAAUUACACUGUGUUUAAUGCAACUUUUCUUUGUUAAUCAGGAGCUUGUUUGGUUAAUUUGGUAUAAAGUUAGGUUUAAUCCAAAGAACUCAUUUUGAUUAAAUAAUUUUUGUAAUUGAGGUCAUUAGAGCUUGUUAAUGAACUCCAAUACGAGUUCAAAACAAGUGCACAGUCAAAUAUUGUGUAGAAGGUUAAUUAUAUGACCAAGGGAGUCACCGCGAAACUGAAAUUGUUUUCUCUUAUUUGAAUUUUCACAGUGUUAAAGUUCAAUUAUUCUUUUAUCAUUUUCAAUUUUUAUUAGUUUAAAUUUUCAGAAAUAAACCCCCCUUUAUGUUUUAUUCAUUUGUAAAGAAUUAGUUCGUGCCUUACACAAAGAUGUAGAUACUUUAGGACGUGUCCUUGAGGAUCCGACCCUGCUUACCAAUACUACCUGUUAGUGCAAAAGACCAGUCUUAUUAAUAUUUUUAUUUGUUUAAAUCAUGUACGACAAUGAUUUUAACAAAUUAGCGCCGUUAACGGGGACACGGUAAACACUAAUAGUUUUAUGCCAAGAUCUUCAUGUACAGGUGAUCUAAUUUUUGAUCCAGAGAUUGAGAAGACUGCUAGGAAGCUAAAGAAGGAAGCAAAACUUCGGAAGCAGCAACCAUGAACCUCAUCAUCCUCCCCCCAUCACACUAUAAACACCCACACCACAAGACACUCCAUUGUGGAACGAACCUGAAGCCUCAUUUCAACCUUUUCCAAAAGCACCACCUACCUCACCCGUUAGCAACCCCUUUAAAACAUACUCCUCAUCAUCUUCAAAAGAAUCCAAACCCACAAACUCUUUUGAAACCGAAACAGAAAUCAUCAUGAGCAAAAACGGAGCGAAGCUGAAAAGACUCUUCGCGAGUGGGCAACAUAAGAGGUUACCCAACAACCUUAGUGUAUCACCUUUCCAGAAGCUCAGAACUUUGAGUUCAAAUCCGGUUUAAUCCAUCUGCUUCCCCCGUUCUGAGGCCUUGAGAAUGACGAUGUAACGUCUCGAUUCUCAGGUAUUAAUACUAUUGAAUCCUUUGAGUUUUCAGAUCUACUCGACGAGUUGGUCUCCCUACUCGUCGAGUAGUAGCGGGUUGGUCCGUGAAGUUUAAUGGCCUACUCGCCGAGUCCAAGAGGGGACUCGACGAGUAGGAGCUGGCAGCUGAAACCCUAAAUCCCAGGGUUGUGUACCCUAUUUAAGGAAUCAUAAGCCUCCCUUGGCUUCUUUACAGUCCUUUGAGAGUCUAAGAAAACCCUAAUCCGUGUGGUGCUUCUUCCUUGUGUGUUUUAAGCCUUGGUGAGUGGAUCUUUGAGGAGAAGAGUUUGGAGGGCAAGAGGCUAGGAGCAAGGAAUCAGAAGUCUACCUCAGAUUAGCAUUAUUGAAGGUAUUAAGUCACCACCUUCACUUCAUUUUCCUUCUAGACCUCUUUUGGUUGAGAUUUAGGGUUUUAUGGCUUGAUUGAGAGGUUUAUGUGGGAUAUUAACUAGAUCUGAAGUUGUAACUUCAGAUCUGGACCCUCCUUGGGUUCUAGAGUCAUAAAGCUCUGAGCUUGGCCUUGAAUGAAGCCUCCAUUUAGUGUGAAACCCCAUUGUGAGUUUGGAUUUGACAUUAAGAGCCUUUUUAGCCAUGCAUGCACGUAAAGUUUGCAACUUUACGUGAAAAGCAGGCCUUAGAAGCUUGGAUCUGUAAUUUGGAGCCACUGCAUGGCUUAAAAGAGUCUGUUCAGCUUAAGGACUGUAGGGACUCGGCGAGUCGCAAGGUUGAAUCGGCGAGUCAUAUGAAGAUAGGCCUGGACCCGACGAGUUGGAUGAACAACUCGGCGAGUCGGAUGAAGAUUGUCAAAGACUCGACGAGUUGAAGGAACAAAUCGACGAGUCGGUUAAGGUUUUCCCCAGCUGAUGAUGCAUGUGAUCUUGUCGAGUCGCAAGAGGGGAAAAAUCAACUGGUGGCCUUAGAAUUUUGAUCAAACCCUAGGAACUCGACGAGCCACCCUGGUGACUCAACGAGUGGGCUAUAUCCCGAGAAACUCGGCGAGUCACUAGAAGUACUCGGCGAGUUAGGGUCAACAUGGACUGUUGACUUGACCUUGACUGAAGUUGACCAGGGUUGACUUUGGGGGGAUAAUGACUAGUUAUGGUAUGACACUUUUAGGCAGAUGAGUUGGAGCAACACGUGGGGCAUAUUUGGUCGCAAAGUGUCAGUUCAGCAUUUGUGUCAGGUGAGUCUUCUCACCAUACUUAUGGGUCUAAGGGCACCAAGGCCGACCCAUUAUGUAAACAUGUUAUGUGUGUGCCAUUCUUUUAUUAAUUGAUAUGUUAUGUGUUAUUAUAUUGGCAUGAAAGACCCCGGGGGGAGCCCGUGACAUUGGAUAUAAGACCAUGUGGGGUAACCCAUGACAUUCCUAGGUAAAGACCAUGUGGGGUAGCCCAUGGCAUUGGAUAUAAGACCAUGUGGGGUAGCCCAUGGCAGUCCUAGGUAAAGACCUUAUGGGGUAGUCCAUGGCACUCUUGCUGAAUCAUAUUACAUGGUUUUUGUGGUAUGUUUAUAGCUUUAUCUGCUAUCAGGAUAUGUGUAUGUGAUUAUAUGGUAUGCUCUGGGAAACUCAAUAAGCAUUUCGCUUACAGGUUGUUGAUUUGUUUCAGGUACUACUGAGCCCAAUGGCAAGGGCAAGGCGUGAUGGCAUGGCGUGCACUCUAUCUCUCUUUUUAGUAUGUUUGGGACCCUCCGAUGUUUUCAACAGGAAAAAAAACAAUGAUGUAAUAAAUGUGAUUUGGAAAACAAAUGUUUUGGGAAUCUAUGGUUUAUGAGGUUGGUUUGAUUAAUUGAAAAUGAAAAAUUUCUUUGUAAAAAAAUUUGGGUCGUUACAAGUUGGUAUCAGAGCCUUGGUUUCAGGGAUUCAGACACAUUCUCGGGUGUGUCGGGACUCAAACUAAGGAAGUGGUAAAAUGUUUUCAAAAGUAACCUAAAAAGGAUUUUAAAAGAAACCAAAAAAGAUGAGAGUGCAACACGCAUGAUCAGCCGAGCCAAGUAAGUAGUUUCCCAAUUUGAAAAGCCACGUUAUACUGAUAGUGAGCUCUGUCGAUUAUAUGAAAUUGCUAAGUGUAUGUUUUUAAAAUUAUAUACGGUUAGGAGCUGAUAGCCUCAGAAUGAUUGAUUUAGCCUUAUUUUCUUUUCCUUGUUUGGAUGUGGUCUUAGGGUAGAAUCUCUUAUUCGAAAGUCUAUUUGAUCCCUUCUACGUAUAAUUUGAAUGCAUAAAAGCAACCUGUUGUGAUUGGUUUGAUUGUUAUAAGUAGGACAAUCAUAGGGCAUCCAGGGUUUGAUUCAUGCGAGAGUUAUGGGUCGUGGUUUUGUGUUGGUUCAGUUUGGAAUUACUAGAUAAAGCAGUGGGGGAAAGGUACAGGUAGGUGUGGAAGGUAGUAUUGGGCCCAUACUACUGGAAGCAUAGGACCCGUACCCAAAUCCAUGUUGUACCUAGGAGCUCCAAGGGACAACGGUAUGGAAGUACCCUCUUUAUGGGUAUCCUGGUUAUUAUGUUUUAUGGUAGUUCAGCAUGGUAGUGAAACGACUUGGAGUAGGGGUAUCAGGAUCGGGAUUGGGAUCCAGGGCUGGGUCAGGCGGCCCUACUGAUGGUAUUGAUGAGAGGUUGCGUGAGCUGAUUGCGGCCAAGGUUACGAGGGGCAGCAGACAUUGUUAAAAGUCUUGCUACCAGUACCCAAGCUUUUUAGAAUGAAACCAAAUCUAGCAUCAAGAAUCUGGAGCAGCAUGCAUCAUAACUCGCGAACUAUAUGAGCAAAAUGGAAGCACAAACACAAGGAAAAUUCCCCAUCUCAGACUGAGAAAAAACUGAAUCACAAUGUUUGUGCUGUCACCAUCAGAAGUGGUAAAAACUACAAAGGACCAUAUUAGCAAGAAGAUGAGGAAAAAGAGGUCGUGGUUGAGCAAGAAUCUGAGGCAACUGAAGAGGUACAGAAAAAGCAUAGACCUGAUGAAGCUGAGGUAAAAAUCACUCCUCCUUUUCCAUCAAGACUAAAAAACACGAAAAAAGAAAAGGAAGACAAAGAUAUCAUGGACUUUUUCAGAAAAGUUGAGGUAAAUAUUCCCCUUCUUGAUGCUAUUAAACAACUACCUCGAUACACAAAUUUUUUGAAAGAAUUAUGAACUUCAAAAAGAAAAUUAAAAGGAGACGAAACAGUUAAAGUAAGUGAGAAUGUUUCAGUUGUUUUAUAGAAAAGGUUGCUCCCACAGUGCAAGGACCCAUGAGUAUUUAUUGUUCCUUGCAAUUUCAGGAACCUUUCAGUGUCACGAGCUAUGUUAGACUUAGGAGCUUCUAUAAAUGCUCUGCCAUACUCACUUUUUAAAACUAUCGGGGUAGGGCCACUAAAAAGAACUUGAGUUAUUAUUCAGUUGGCUGAUCGUUCUCUAGUACACCCAAAAGGUGUGCUGGAAGACAUUUUGGCUCAAGUGAAUGAACUUAUAUUCCCAACUGAUAUCUAUGUUUUAGAUAUGGGAAAUGAUGUCUCACCAAAUUCAGGUUCCAUUCUUUUGAUGAUACCAUUUUUAAAAACCGCCAAAACCAAAAUAGGUGUUUAUGAUGGUAUCCUUUCAACGGAAUUUGAUGGUGGAGUUAUCAACUUCAAUAUUUAUGACGCCAUGCGUUAUCCAGAUGAUUUUUAAACCCUUAAUUUUAUUGAUGUAAUUGAACCAUUAUCUGUAGAAUAUUUUGAGAUUGCUAACCGUGAGUCACUAGCAUUAGUUCUCCACAAAAACAUGUCUAUUAAUGCAGCUCAGGUUUUAUCAAAAAAAUUAUGUGGUUGACAGAGAAGUAUAAGAGAUAGCAUCUCACAUGGACCAAUAAAGAAAGUUGAGGUAUGGUACCCAAACUCUUAAAUUACCAGUUUCUAACUCCAAACUUUUUCCCUCUGUAGUGCAAGCACCCAUCUUGGAGUUGAAGACACUUCCAGAACAUCUAAAAUAUGCAUAUCUUAGAGAAAAAGAAACACUUCCAAUCAUCAUCUCCAAUAAGUUGUCAGAAAAAAAGAGUCGGAACUGAUCAGAAUUCUGAAGGAGUAUAAAAGCGCGAUUGGAUGGACAAUUGCAGACAUCAAAGGACUCAGCCCAUCUCUCUGCAUGCAUAAAAUUUUGAUGGAAGAAGAUUAUAAGUCAUCGCAAGAAGCCCAACGCAGAUUAAACCCACUAAUGAUGGAGAUGGUUAAAAAAGAAUUUAUGUAGCUGUUGGAUGCUGGGAUGAUAUACCCUAUAUCUGACAACAAAUGGGCUAGACCAGUCCAAGUCGUACAAAAAAAGGUUGGAGUGACAGUGGUAGAGAACAAAGAAGGAGAAUUGGUUCCGACUUGGGUUCAGAACGGAUGGCGUGUUUGUAUCGAUUACAGAAAAUUUAACGCAACCACCCGGAAAGAUCAUUCACCUCUCCCAUUCAUAGAUCAGAUGCUAGAUAGGCUUGCUGGAAAAUUCCACUACUGCUGUUUGGAUGGAUUCUCAGGUUUCCAUCAGAUUGCAUUUGCUCCAGAAGAUCAGGAAAAGACUACUUUCACCUGCCCAUUCGGAACAUUCGCAUACAGGCGUAUGCUCUUUGGACUCUGCAACACACCCGCUACCUUUCAAAGGUGUGUGGUUAGUAUCUUUUCUGAAUAUGUCGAAAAUACCAUAAAAGUCUUCAUGGAUGAUUUCACCGUCUAUGGAGACUCCUUUGAUAUUUGUCUAAAAAACCUCACAAAAUUUUUGCGAAGAUGUAUUGAAACAGACUUGGUCUUAAAUUUUGAAAAAUGUCACUUUAUGGUUGACCAAGGUUUGAUUUUGGGUCAUAUUGUUUCAAAAGAGGUUUAGAAGUCGACAAAGCAAAAAUAGAUGUUAUAAAAAGCUUACCCUACUUGAAGAGUGUUCGGGAAGUGCGUUCUUUUCUUGGUCAUGUAGGUUUUUACAGGAGGUUCAUAAAAGAUUUUUCAAAGAUAUCAGUUCCCAUGUGCCACCUGCUGCAAAAGGAUGCUAAAUUCGACUUCAAUGAAGAUUGCAAAAAGAAUUUUGAUGUGCUGAAAAAUAUUCUUACUUCUGCCCCCAUUAUUCAGCCACCAGACUGGAGUCUACCAUUUGAGAUAAUGUGUGGUGCAAGUAACACUGCUGUUGGAGCUGUUUUAGGACAGAGAAAAGACCGGGUUCCCCACAUUAUAUAUUAUGCAUCAAAAACUUUGGACAACGCCCAAGAAAGUUACUCAACCAUAACUCAAAAACUCUCUCUAUAUUCCGGUUAUUUUCGAGUUUUUGUAGUUCCAAUUGAAUGAGUAAUCAAACAAAAUCAGAGUAUGAAAUGAUUUAGAACACAAUAUCUAAAUAAAAUAUGUUGGGCACGUUGUAUUGCUUGAUCAGUUGAAUACAAGAGGAAAAGCAAAAUGAUUACAAUCAGGGAAAAGUUCUUAACCUCUAAAAGUAUCCUUCCCAUAUUUAUAGGGAAAACUGAAAGCACAAAAAGUAUACGGACAUUCGACAUCUAAGCUUCGUUACUAAAGUAGUCCUUAAAAUAAAAUACAAUUCAAUAUUCAAUAUUACAAAUGACAAAGAUAAUUUCGACAUCUUACAACCUUCGAACCCCAACAUUCUCCUCCUUUGUGAGAAGUGUCGAAUCUAUGUCAUUAACACUUUCGUUGUUUGAUGAAUGACCCUUCAUAUCUCAACAUACUAGUUAACAAUAUUUUGAAUCUAUGCCUUCUCUUUAUCAUUAUUCUUCUCACAGCUAUUCAUUCUAACCAAGAGAUUGGUGUAAUGAGCAGUUGUGUAUCUUUCAACAUCACACACUUGAAACGGGAAUUUAGAGUUAUUUCCCUUCUUGUUUUUGCCAAGGAAAACAAUUCCUAAUGGAUUCAAGGUAAUCCCCCCAUCUUCAAGAUUUUUCAAACUAGCCUUGGACAUCAGCAUAGUUUGUGGAACUUCGACUUCUUUACCAAGUGACUUAGCCAACUCAACAUCAAGGCUAAAGCUCCAUAAUAACUAUCGAUAAAAGCUUUUAAAUGACCAAACCCAUUCAAGAAAUCUUAUUUACUUGUCACUUGGAGUUUCGAAACAUCCACACUCUUCAUUAUCAUCGACACAACUAAUAAAUCAUGAAGAUUCAUCAGGGGAAAGUCUGCAACCGUGAAGUCGAAAGUACCAUUAUUUGCUCUGACUGCAUAGUAUCGAUAAUUCUGUAACAUGCUCUCGAACAAUAUGUCUUUGGAUAUGCCAAGAAACUGAACUAUCUUUACUAAAGAAUGUAUUUCCUCCUACUUCUUUCCCAGUACUACAUGAAAACGAAGCUUCAUGUGUUUGUACCCAACCUUAUCCUUGUACUUUUCAGUAAGUUUGAAGUUUUCUUCCAAGAACAUCAUCCUGUUCACUAGAAAGUCCAAUUGACUCAUGUUAGAGUUCACAGUAUCGAAACUUCUUUUGGGCACCUUUUCAAAAUCAUGCUUCUCCCUAGCAACAACUAAAGCCUUAAUAUGCUCAUAAUGGUAGACUUUUGUUGGAUCGCCUUUAUCAAGACCAGGAAGAUCAUUUGUAUGUUGUCGAAGAAUACUCUAUAUAUGUCUUUGUUUUUCCAUUUCUGCUUCAAGAGCAACUUUCUUCUCUUCUUUCGACAAUUCAACACUUAUGUAUUUGCCUUUGCCUUUAUAUUCUUCAUUUAGCUUAGGUUUCGUUGAUCCUGACUCUCCACCAGUAGUUCCAAUAACAAUUCCCUUUGUGAUAGGCCUUGUUGUUGAUGUUGUUUAAGAAGAACAGUAUAAGAUUUUGGUAAGAUGUUGGAAUUUGAGUAGUCAACAAUUUUCCAACAACUUUUCCAUCGCCACCUAUGUUUCUAGAACCACCUUCUCCUUUUAAUCCACUCCCACUGCCAACAUUUUUCCUUUCUCCCCCUUGCACCCCUGUGCUCAUAGGUGGGGCAUUCGUUGGCAUGAAAUUUUCAAAUUUCACAAGUGGAGCCAAUUCAAUAUGAAUGGUUAACUCUGACAUAUGCAAUUUUUUAUGGAAUAACUCAGGAGAUAAGAUUGAAUCCUUUGAAGAAUCAUACUUUGACAUAAGAUCCUUUAUCUCUACCAACAAUUUGUCCACAUUUCCAAAGCCGGUAACUUCAACCUCAACCUUUUUAUCAAACUUCGGAACCAAGGAAUUAUACAGUUCAACUGCUUUCGUUACAACACCAACAAUUAUAUCUACCUUAUUGUGAAGAGUAGAAUAAUUGUGCGCCUUCCCGCACUUGCCACAAGUUCGACCCCUCUGUCCUCCUAAUCGUGACUCGGCAAGCUUGAACCGCUUUGCUACUAGCUGUGACUGAACUGGAGCCGGCCUUUGCUCCUCCUCUGGAUCUCAAUCUCAAUCUUAAUCUCCCGACUCCGUGCAACAUCCUGAAGCUUGGAGAGGGUACGAUAUCGCUGGGUAGACACAAACUCCCGAAUCCCAGUCUUGAGCAUGCUCAAGUAUCGCGACAUUUGGUCCUAAUCCGAAGCAAAAUACUCAGGGAAGAAAAGAGUUCUCUCAGUAAACAUCUUAGUGAUCUCCGUCAUUGAUUCUGUCGUCUGCCAUAAUCAUAGAUAAUCUUGAGCCAACCUCUCCCUCUCCACCAGGGGAACAUACUUAGUACAAAACAUCUCCACGAACUGCCCCAAGUAACUGCAAUCCUUUUCUCGGGAGUAUAAGAACCAAUCACUAGGCUUCACAAGUCCUUCACGCCCAGACGAAGAAGGUUUAGGGCGCACCUGAACUACCGGUCCUUGACCUCGUCAAACUUUGGGGGCUUCGUGUUGCUGAAAUCCCGAUACUAAAAUGACCAUCUCCCCUGAACCCCCAUAGCUGCAAUAGUUGUAGUAGCUGCAGCAACAUCAACAACCUCAGUCAUGAAGACGUAUCGCUCAUCAAAAAGCUCAAUCAUCGCGGUCUUAAUAGACCCAAAAACCUCCAGGAUAGAACCCCAUACAGCCGUAGUCACCUUAAUGGAGAUCAACUCCCAUAUCUCAUCAUCAGUCAAUCCUGGUAUCGUCGGGCUGUCCGUUCCUGAUCCAUAACCCCUAGUGAUUGACAUACUGAAAACAAACCGAAAUUCAUCAAAAAGCCACAAUUCAUACUAUUACAAUAAUUACGGAAAUACUAGACCCUUGUGGAUCGCGACUUCCUUCCUGGUCAUGUGUUUCCAGUAGUAUGGGCCCAUACUACCUUCCAUACCAACCCGUAUUCAUAUCAACAGGUCAUCACGAACCACCCGAUUGCAAGACCCAAUAUCGAGGAUACUCUUACAUUCUCUACAUAUUCUCAAGGGUGGCUAAUCCAUCCUCAAGAUGGCCUGCUAUAAUCUGCACUCACUCAUGGAACUUUCACCAACCCUACAACCACUCAGGCAUGCUAAUCAUACAUAACACUGGAUUCCAUAGACAGUUGAAUACUUGAUUCUACACUAAGCCCACAACUAGACAAGGAACAUGAAAUAAGGCUAAAUCAGACAUUCUCAGGCUAUAAAAUCUUAGUUAUGUACAACUAUGAUGCAUACUGUAACACUCUAAAAAUUCCAACCAAUUUAAACUUUUCAAAAACAACCCAAUUUCAUAAAGUUAAUACAAAAAGGUUUUCAAUACAUUUAUUAUCAGAGUAUUUCCCAGAAACCACAUCGUAAACACAUAAAACCCGAGGAGCGGUACGAUCAUACCUUUGCCUUGCCACGGUCUCCUGAAGUACCUGAAACAUUUAAACCACAACUGUAAGCUCGAAAGCUUAGUGAGAUACCCCAAAAAUACCAACGCCAUACAAACAUAACCAUAUGAUAUAAUCGAUACAGAACAUCCAUGCACUUUGGGUCUACUAUGUGACUGGUCUGCCGCACCGGCCUACAGUCCACCUGGUCCACCCUCCGAGUCUAGCCAUAUACAUCGAGUCUACCGUGUGAUUGGUCCGCCCGCACCGGGCCUUUAAUCCACCUGGUCUACUCUCUAAGUCUACAACAUGACUGGUCCGCCCACACCGGGCCUUCAGUCGUCCUGGUCCACUCUCCGAGCCUCGACACGUUUGGUCCGCCCUCGUGGGGCCUAUAGCCUAUCCGGACCGCUCUCUGGGCCUGCGGGAUAACCGGUCCGCCCUGGGUAUGUUGGCCUACAGCACAAAGCAGGACCCGCCUCAACCCAACUCCAGCCCAACAACCAUGUGCACAUAAAUAUACAAUCAUAUAACAAUAUGCAUCCAACCAAACCGAUCUAGCAGAUCACAUAACAUAACAUCAUCCUAACAGGAUACCGACCUAACUGGUCGCUAGCAUAGCAUCAUCCUAUAUACCAGGAUACCGACCUUAACCAGGUCUCUAACAUAUACUGUCCUAACUACCAGGAUGUAAACAUAGCAAAACAAUAACAUAACAACAACACCCGGAUUACAAUCCGAUAAAGGGCCGGCCUUGGUGCCUUAGACCCUGUUGAUAUAGUGAGGAUAACUCACCUCGCAACUGCUGACUGAAGAGGAUAAGAUCACGCUGCUCCAACCUCCGGCACGAACUCCACCACUGAUCAAUAUCAAAAGAUUGAACUCAAUAAAUACCCAUAAUUACCAAAAUACCCCUGGAAGUCAACUGGUCAACUCUUGGUCAAAGUCAAAGUCCUCAGUCAAAGUCAACCCUCCUGACUGACUCUACUCGCCGAGUCAACCCGCUGACUCGUCGAGUCCCCAUGCUCUGAAACUCCCAUAACACGACUCAACUCGCCGAGUCGCCCCAAGACUCGCCGAGUCCCACAACUCUGAGUCUAACCGUACUCAACUCACUGAGUCAUCCCUUGACUCACCGAUUCACAGCUUAACCAGAAAAGGUUAGGACCUCACGACCAGACUCGCCGAGUCCAAGGUUAUCUUCAACCAACUCGCCGAGUUGUUCUUCCAACUCGUCGAGUUGCUGCCCAUCUUCAUGCAACUCGCCGAGUAAACCCAUGUGACUUGCCGAGUACCACUAGUUUUUUGCUCAUACAGAGGCUUUCCAAGCCAUGCAGGGUCUCAAAUCCAUAGAUCUACUCUUAUACAAGCCAUCCAUCACGUAAAGUAGCAAACUUUAUGUGAAUCCAAGGAGAUCUAAGCAUAAUACACUCUUGGCUAAGGUUUGGGGCUAAAAGGCUUCAUCAACAGCUCUUGAACAGGGACUUUAUGCUCUUUUGGAUCAUCACUACUCUAGAUCUGAGGUAGCAACCUCAGAUCCAACCUCCAAACUCAAGAUAACACUAUAUAAAUUCCCAAAAAUCCCACAAAUGAUAGAUCUAGAUGGCUAACAGCUCAAGCAACGAAUCCUUACCUCCAAAGAAGACUCCAACAAAAGAAUAAGCCAAAACUUGCAAAGCCCCUUGCUCCAAACCUCUUAAUCUUCAAAGAUUUCUUCAACCAACACUUCUUCAAGACCCAAACGCUCUAUAAUUCUCUCAUACACGAAAAAUUAGGGUUUCUGGACUUCAAGGGGGAGCAAAGAGGCUGGGGAGAGGGUAUUAUGUUCUUUAUAUAGGGCUCAAUCCCUGGGAUUAGGGUUUUCUCCACACAACACCAACUCGCCGAGUCCAGCCACCGACUCGCCGAGUUGGCCACUAAACACGCGACCAGAAUCGCGACCCUACUCGCCGAGUCCACCCAUGGACUCGCCGAGUUGAUCAUUCAUAUUUUCACUUUGAACCCUAAACUUGCACUCCUGAACUCGGGAUGUUACAAUUCUCCCCCACUUAAAUUAGGCUUCGUCCUCGAAGCCUGCGGCAACACAACUCCAGAAACUACUCUCGCAACGCACCACCUGGCAUUAACCAGACCAGGUUCCUCAAAACACAACCACCGAAACCCAAAUCCUAACCCUUCCCCCGCGGUGUCCCGACCACCGCCUCAUCCUCUGAUAACCACACUUAUCAACCGAGUACCAUUCCAGGAUACUUCACUCGCCUCAAGUCACAACGAUCGUUUGACCCUUACACAGCUAGACAUCCCCCAGACCCCCGGGUCUUGACCCGGUACCAAACUGCUACAUACAUAACCUCCUGAUCACAACCAUACUGGGAAUCCAAGGCUCCAUCCUUGCAUCCCCUUCCGAGCCUCUUUGGCUCUAUACCCUCGAAAUUCCUUCUGAUCUUAGCAGACAUCCAACCCGGAUGUGCUCCAUACCACCGGCGCAAACACUCUGCUCAAAACCAUAAUUGGAACACCUCAAUCAUACCCCCGCGCUACUGAUUUCACUUCCGUGAACUUACACUCCCUCUCGGAGCUACAUACCUUUCCCUUUCCUUAUCCAAGGAAAUCUACUUGGCCGCCUUGUCACUACAACAAGUGUCACGGUGUACACACUCCACUCUACACUAUCCCCUUAUAGCAUAACCGCUAUCCCAUGCACCAUACAUGCUCUGAAUCUGCUCGCAAGGACUCUCGAGUCCAUGCACUACCUUCCACCAAUCAUGACCAAUACCCGGGGCCAGACCUUCUGAUGCUAUCACAUCACAACACACUCAUUCCAUGUCCUCAUACAGAUCUAUCAACACAUGUAGAGUCUUCAGCAUGACUGUACCGCCUUACCAGGCCUUCAGCCACUCUGGACCACUCUCAAAACCUUCAUCAUGUCUGGACCGCCCUCCAAUGCCUUCAGCCUGUCUGGACCGUCCUCUGAGCCUUCGGCCUGGCUGGUACGCCUUCCGGCCUUCAGUCUCCCCGGACCGCUCAAACUAUCAAGCAUCAUCCCGAACUAUUCCUCCUAGGAAUUCCGCCCAUACAUACUGCUAGCCCUCUAGGGGUUCCGAACUCUAACUCCAUUCCAUAUACUCAGAUCCCGGCCUGAUCCUAGGCCUUACAACCUCCAAUCACCCUAUCCAAAAUCCUUGGUCUGUAUUCCGCCCCAUCGAACUGUCACUUACUCAUACCAGCCCACACUCUUGGCUAACUGAAACACUGCUGGAUCCCAAAUAGCUAAUCGAACUCUAAUGCUUAUCGAUCCUCCUGAAAAUUUUCCAAUUCUCCCACUUAGAGCACUGAUUAUCCACCACUAGUCGCCAUAACCAACCUUCCUUAACAACCCUUCACAACACAUUCCCUUACACGCGAACUGAUUCACACUAGAACAAGCAACCUUCACCAAAUCACAUAUCAACACUAAUCAUCUCGAACUCGAAAGAAGCCCAACCUUCAGCUAACCACUCCUCAGACUGCAGAUGCUACCUGACAUUCAGUCCAAAAGCCUGAUUUCCCACUAAUAAUCCCUAUGGAUGAUAACCAACGAAACUCCCAAUACCAAAACCCUUAACCGAACCAUAGCCAUCAAGCAACAAGGAAUACAAUACCAAAAUCACACAACGAGACUAGCAUAUAUACAAUACUCCAUAAUAAUCACAAGAUAACAAAAUAUCAAGAAUGAAACAUACCCGCAGCUGCAUCCGACACUGCCCUGACCUCCUCUGCCGUAAGCUGAAAAGCACGACCCUGAGCUCUCGGAGGCUCCGCUCCACCCUGACCUCCACCCAUAAUCCUCAAAGUGGCCGGUGCUGGAGCCUGCACCGGUCCAGCAGCAAGCUAUGGACAGUUGACCCUCAAGUGCCCAACCUGAUGGCAAUGAUAGCAAAUCCUCAAAUCCUGAACCGGGGCUGUCUGCCGACAGUCCCUCGCAUAAUGUCCCUCCCUUACGCACUUGCGGCAUGCACCACUGGACCUACAAACUCCAGUGUGACCCUUCCCGCAUUUCCCACAAGUGCGGUUGCUCUGAUCUCCCAACCUUGAAUCAACGGUCUUGGACCGUUUCGGCGCCGGCUGCGACUGUGUCGGGGCCUGCCUCUGUUCUCUCAAUUGUAACUCAAUCUCCAACUCACGCCGCCGAGCGGCCUCCUGCAACUCCAGCAGGGUCUCGCACCUCUGUGUAGACACAAACUGCCUGAUAUCCCUCUUGAGCAUACUCAGAAAUCGGGACAUCUGAGCCUGCUCCGAAGCAAACUCCGGGCAAAACAUCGCCCUCUCUGUGAACAUCCUGGUGAUCUGUCACCGAAUCUGAAUCCUGCUUUAGCUCCAGGAACUCCUGAGCCAAUCUCACCCUCUCAACUCGCGGAACAUAGCGAGUAUUGAACAUCUCCCUGAACUGAUCCCAAGAAACCGCAACUCGCUGCGCAUCAGAAUACGAUCCCGAGGUCAACCUCCACCAAUCCUUCGCCCCGAGCCUCAAAAGGUUCAGAGCGCACCUCACCCUCUGAUCAGCAGGGCAUGAACACAUGAAGAAACACCCCUCCACGUCUCACAACCAUCUCAUAGCAAUGAUCUGGUCCUGAACUCCAUCGAAGGUAGGGGGCUUCGUAUUAUCGAAGUCCCGAUACUGAAAACCUCUACCGGCUCCUCCCCCUGCCGUUGCUACAGUCGUUGUAGCUGCUGCGGCAGCCGUCUCUGUAAGAGCUGCAUAGUGCUUAUCAAAAUACUCAACCAUGGCGGUCUUGAUCGACCCAAACAGUUCCGACAACUCGGCCCGGAACAUAGCAGCAACCUCGACAUGUAGGAUCUCACGAAUCCUGGCAUCCAGCUCGUCUGUGCUCAUCUGACCAAUAAUCUCGGGUGGUGCUGACCCACCCUGACCGCCUCCUCCUACUCCCGAUCCUGAACCAGAUCCACUCCCAGCAUGCCUCGUAACCACCAUACUGAAAUUACCGCAAAACAUCAGGCGCUUCUAACUAACCCGAGAUCCAACUCUCGACCCAACCCUAGGGGUUAUGACUUCCUUGAUACGCGUAUGGGUCCUGUGCUUUCGGUAGUACGGGCCCAUACUACCUUCCACACCUACCCAUAUUUAUAUCAAGUAUCAUCACAACGUCCUAGUGAAGAACAUGCAUAACAAGCACUCAACCCUCACUCCUAGAGGAACACUGGAAAUCUCAUACAGAAGGAAACCCUAGGCUAGCAGGCAUCAUAAAUCAGGCAACUCUAUCAUGCAAUUCCUGAAGAUCCCUAACCUAGUACUAGCAUGAUGUUCUAUCAUAUCUCAUAAACAAAUAACUUGCAUGGUAUUUUGGGGUUACUUACUGGCUCCGGAUGAUCGUACCUCCACGUCCUCCUUUACUUAUUUUUGAAAACCCUUUUUAAAUUCUCUUUUGAAAACUCUCCUUGAUUUGAGACCGCCUGGUUACUUACUGGCUCCGGCUGAUCGUACCUCCGCGUCCUCCUUUACUUAUUUUUGAAAACCCUUUUUAAAUUCUCUUUUGAAAACUCUCCUUGAUUUGAGACUGUAUUCACACGAAUGUUCCUCCAAUUCACUCAAACCAAGGCUCUAAUACCAACUUGUAACUAGGGAUGUAAACGAGUCGAGCCGAGCCGAGCCCGAGCUUGACCAAGAUCUAGCUCGGUUCGUUUAAUUUUGAGGAAGCUCGAGCUCGAGCUCGAGCUCGAUUCGAGCCUUAAAAUGAAGCUCGGGCUCGGCUCGUGAACNNNNNNNNNNNNNNNNNNNNNNNNNNNNNNNNNNNNNNNNNNNNNNNNNNNNNNNNNNNNNNNNNNNNNNNNNNNNNNNNNNNNNNNNNNNNNNNNNNNNNNNNNNNNNNNNNNNNNNNNNNNNNNNNNNNNNNNNNNNNNNNNNNNNNNNNNNNNNNNNNNNNNNNNNNNNNNNNNNNNNNNNNNNNNNNNNNNNNNNNNNNNNNNNNNNNNNNNNNNNNNNNNNNNNNNNNNNNNNNNNNNNNNNNNNNNNNNNNNNNNNNNNNNNNNNNNNNNNNNNNNNNNNNNNNNNNNNNNNNNNNNNNNNNNNNNNNNNNNNNNNNNNNNNNNNNNNNNNNNNNNNNNNNNNNNNNNNNNNNNNNNNNNNNNNNNNNNNNNNNNNNNNNNNNNNNNNNNNNNNNNNNNNNNNNNNNNNNNNNNNNNNNNNNNNNNNNNNNNNNNNNNNNNNNNNNNNNNNNNNNNNNNNNNNNNNNNNNNNNNNNNNNNNNNNNNNNNNNNNNNNNNNNNNNNNNNNNNNNNNNNNNNNNNNNNNNNNNNNNNNNNNNNNNNNNNNNNNNNNNNNNNNNNNNNNNNNNNNNNNNNNNNNNNNNNNNNNNNNNNNNNNNNNNNNNNNNNNNNNNNNNNNNNNNNNNNNNNNNNNNNNNNNNNNNNNNNNNNNNNNNNNNNNNNNNNNNNNNNNNNNNNNNNNNNNNNNNNNNNNNNNNNNNNNNNNNNNNNNNNNNNNNNNNNNNNNNNNNNNNNNNNNNNNNNNNNNNNNNNNNNNNNNNNNNNNNNNNNNNNNNNNNNNNNNNNNNNNNNNNNNNNNNNNNNNNNNNNNNNNNNNNNNNNNNNNNNNNNNNNNNNNNNNNNNNNNNNNNNNNNNNNNNNNNNNNNNNNNNNNNNNNNNNNNNNNNNNNNNNNNNNNNNNNNNNNNNNNNNNNNNNNNNNNNNNNNNNNNNNNNNNNNNNNNNNNNNNNNNNNNNNNNNNNNNNNNNNNNNNNNNNNNNNNNNCGGGCCUUCAAUCCACCUGGUCCACUCUCUGAGUCUACAGUAUGACUGGUCCGCCCGCACCGGGCCUUCAGUCGGCCUGGUCCACUCUCCGAGCCUCGGCACGUCUGGUCCGCCCUCGUGGGGCCUACAGCCUAUCUGGACCGCUCGCUGGGCCUGCGGGAUAACCGGUCCGCCCUGGGUAUGUUGGCCUACAACACAAAGCAGGACCCGCCUCAACCCAACUCCAGCCCAACAACCAUGUGCACAUAAAUAUACAAUCAUAUAACAAUACGCAUCCAACCAAACCGAUCUAGCAGAUCACAUAACAUAACAUCAUCCUAACCAGGAUACCGACCUAACCGGUCACUAGCAUAGCAUCAUCCUAUAUACCAGGAUACCGACCUUAACCAGGUCUCUAACAUAUACCAUCCUAACUACCAGGAUGCAAACAUAGCAAAGCAA